GAGCGUGAACAAUAAAGUGUGAAACGGGUUUGGUGGAGGGCUUUUCCUUUUGGCGGGGGGACAUUUUGGGUUUUAAUAUAAGGAAUAAUAAAUGUGAAUCUUUAAUGGUUAUUGCCAUGCCACGCUAAUAAUUCAUCUUUUCUUACCUUCGGUGAAUUUUGAUAUACUCGGAUUUAAAUGUAUUAACAUUUUCUUAUUAUUCUACUCCAUUCAACUGUUGUGUAUAAUUUGCUUUCCUUGAUGACUUGAUCCAAAUAUGCUUGAACAAACUACAUAUCUAAAAACAUAGUGCCUUUCUACAAGAAAUCCUCCAAUGAAAUAGUGUAUGCUCCUAAUUGUCAAUACCUUUUUGCUUUAUGUAGAACCUUUGUUAACAAAUUUCUUAAUUAGCAAUAAUUAGUGUUGGUAUAGUUUUUCUAGCAUAUCUACAAUCAUCAUUGAUGGUUUAACUAAAUUAUGAUCACAACGUUUACUUAGCCAAUCUAUUCUUCUUUUAAUAAUUGAUAAUAUUGAUAUUUGAUUUUUCUUACUUCAAAAGAUAUCUGAUUGAAUCCUUGCUUUAUUAUGUUUACCCAUGAUAUAAGCAUCAAUCAAGCUAUUUAAAUAAAAUAAAAAAACUAGGAAAAUAAUUUGAAAUGGGCUUUACUAUUGGUUCCUUGAGCUCAAUGGAACACUUUUUUUUGAAGUGGGCCAUUUAAAUUAAAUUAAAGGCGAGUUAUUCAUCUAUUUUUGAUGUUUACUUAAAAUUAUAGAUGUGAAUUUAACAAAUUUAUUAAUUAUUGACUUCAAUCUAUAUAUUGAAUAUGCAACAAUAUUUUAUGAUUAAAAAGAUUCCAAUAAAGAAAGUUUUUAAAGCUAAAAAAACUCUUAAAACUAUGUGGGUUAAGUAAGAUCAAUGGAUAUGCAUUUUAUCAAUUUUAUUUUCCAAAAAGUUUUUAAUUUGAUUUUGAGAAAUAAAAUUUUCAAAAAUUUUCUAUAAAAAAUAAUUUAAAAUUUUUUCCAAUAUUUUUGAAGAAAAAUAUUUCAAAACAAGAUUUUGAAUUUCUUUUUUAUAAAAAGUUUCAAUUGACAAAAUAUUAGAUCGAUAAAUUCCUUCACUUAGGUCCACCAAGAAUUUUGGAGAAUAACAUCGCCUAGAUUAAAUUGUAACAGCAACAGUAGUAUGAGUAUGCAUUCAUUUUGGCCUUUUAGACCUGAAGGCAUUCUUUUGAAAAUAUAUAUAUAUAGUUGGCAAUUUAGACAUUAAUCCCUUCCAAAUGGACCACUUGACACCGGUGGCCUAAUUGAAAUUGAGAUGCAGUCCUCUAGCACGACUUUCAGUAAACUACAAAAGUGUCACAAAUAUUGGGCCACAUCAUUGUGAUAAAUUAAAGGGAGGAGAAUUAUUCUUUUCUUCUAGUAAUUUAUAUUCCAUGGCACUUUUCAUUUACAUUGAAUCUAGAGGCAAUAAAUGACAUCACUUGAAAGAAAUUAAGUGAUGAAAUUUGUCAAGUAGGUACGUUACUUUGAUAGGUAGUAGCUGACAGUAUGAAAAAUAGUAAAAGAAAAAAUUAAAAUAAAUUUGAAUUAUUUUGCAGGAUUAUGGUCUCCAAUUAUUUCUAUACCGCACACCAUAUUUGGUAGACCUUGACCGUGAGAACGUUGGGAGAGUUCUAAAGUUGGACUCAAUAAAGAGUGGUGAUGCAUGGAGAGGGAUGGAUGUGUUGGUUUUCAACACGUGGCAUUGGUGGACCCACACCGGGAAUGCACAACCGUAGGAUCUAAUAUUUAAACAUGAUCAUGAUGAUGAUGAUUUUUAUAAUCCAUUUUGUUAAAGGGGUGAUCUGAUUUGAAUGCAGGUGGGAUUAUAUUGAAGAGGGUAACAAAUUGUACAAAGACAUGAACCGUUUCAUUGCAUUCUAUAAAGGUUUGACAACUUGGGCUAGAUGGGUUAACAUCAAUGUAAAUCCAACCCAAACCAAGGUCUUCUUUUUAGGAAUUUCACCCGUGCAUUACGAGUAAGUUUCUGUACUAAUUAAUUCAAUCCAAUUAACUAUAAAUUUUGUAUUAAGUAUAUUAAUUAAUGUUGGUUUAGGGGGAGAGAUUGGAACCAACCAGCAAAAUCAUGCAUGAGUGAGACACAACCAUUCUUUGGUUUAAAGUACCCAGGAGGUACACCAAUGGCUUGGGUUGUGGUGAAUAAAGUGUUGAGCAGGUUAAAGAAGCCAGUGUUUUUUCUAGAUGUCACAACACUCUCACAAUACAGAAAAGAUGCACACCCUGAAGGUUAUAGUGGUGUUAUGUCAACUGAUUGUAGUCAUUGGUGUCUUCCAGGACUUCCUGAUACUUGGAAUGUGCUUCUUCAUGCUUCUCUUUUUGCUUCAAAUUGAUUCAAUAUCUUCUUAAUUGUAAACUAUAUUAUAUGUUUCUUACUCCUUUUCAUCUUAAAUAUAGCAGAAAAGUUGAUCAACUAAAGCUGAUGUAUUUUUACAUCAAUUUUUUUGACAAAAUUUUCUCUUGUAUUUAUGAUGGGAGGAAGUAUUAGGAGGAAAACACAUUGUUUUUCUACCAUAGGAAUUUAUUUAAUUUGGCAUUUUGAGUUGUUGAAAUUGGACAAUAAAAGGGGUGAUGCUCCUUAUUGUAAAUUUAUUUUUCAUAUUAUUUUGGCAGAAACCUGCCUUGAUUGUACCAAAUACACUCUUUGGAAUAUAUUGAAAUUAAAGUACUUUGCAAAGAACUUUCCUUUGGAAUAACGUGCUGAUGGAUUGUUUUGAGUUCCUUUUUUUAAAAGCAAAAGAGUUGAAAAGUAGAGAAUAUCAUCCCACUUUGCAAACUAGUACAAUUUAAGCAUCAUGCAUGAUCUUUAUAUUACAAGGAGAGAGAAUAAGGCAUUAAUUGGCUUCUUAAACUUGGUUGAGAACAUGACUUAGUUUUUAAAUGUUCGUUCAUUUCUUCCAACCUUUCUAUCUCGGCACAUAGUAAUACUGUCUUGAUUUAACUAUUAACGUGAUCACAAAUGUGACUUUUCCAAAAAUCUUUUACUUCAGAAAACUCAACAUAAUUAAACAAGUAUAAUAUUUAAUAAAUGAUAAGAUAAAAAUAAAUAUUUUUUGAGGUCUAACUUAUGAAUAUACUAUAAUGAUAUUAUAUUGUGAAAAACGGAGAUCAAUGAGUAAUUAAACUAAAACUAUUUUUGGCUUUGUCUAGAAAAACGCAGAAUGAUUAAAACAGAAAACGAAGAUUAAUCAGAUUAGUAUCAAGAACGUUCUCCGUUUUCUAACUGAAAUGGAGAAUGAUCAGUUUUAACUAGAAUUUAAGGCUUGUAAUGCUAAAAUGAAUACACACACUUGUUAAUCUAGUUCAUAGAUUAACUCCUAGGUCUAGGGGACUGAAUACGACUUGAAUUAUCACUUAUAAUGUGAUGAAAACGAUUACAAAAUAUUUAUGCACUUAUGCUGCAAGUUUUUCACAGUUUUGUAAAACUGCAGCUUUGCAUUCUAUAACCUUGAAUCUCUCUGUUUUUCUAGCUUUGUUUUGUGGCUUAUAUACAGUUAGUUUACAGUUUUAGAGUAACAAACUAACUAACCAAAAUAGUUACAACUAGCUAAUUAAUUGUCCAAAAUAGUUUGGCUUCUUAAUUGGAUACCACUUUUAACAAUUCUCUACCUUGGUACCAAUUGAGAAGCUUCAGCUUCUGAUUCUUCAAAUCAGAUCCUAUUAGUCCUUGAUCUCUUGGACUUGAUUUGCAACAUAUCCAAACAGUGUUUGAAUUUGCUAAGUGUGACAGGUUUUAUAAACAUGUCUACAAGAUUAUCACUUGUGUGCACCUUUACCACAUAUAUGUCACCAUUUUCAAUGACAUCUCUGAUGAAGUGAAGUCUGAUGUCUAUAUGUUUGAUUCUAUCAUGAUACAUUUGAUUUUUACUCAAGUGAAUGACACUUUGACUGUCACAAUUAUGCACGUAGAUUCUUGAUUGAUUCCAAAUAAUAUUUUCUUAAGGGUGGAUUUCGGCGAGGGGGUAAUGAAAGAGAUAAAGUAAAGGAGUUUUGUAAAAACAUAAAAAGUCUAAGUUCUAUUAAGAUAUCAGUUAUUUUAUUUUUUUAUUUUAUUUUUUAAAAUGAAUAAUUGUUUUAAGUGUACAUUCAAAUAUUUUAUUUACAUUAAAAAAAUGGAUAAAAAUAAUAAUAUGAUAAGAAGAGGUGUUGAAUUAACAUAAAAAAAAAAAAAAUACAAUUUUAAUAAGAUGAUGACCGAGCUUUGGACCUGCAAAACAGUAUUGCAAUCGAAAUCCGAAGGAAGGGGUGUAAGUAGAACUCCCCUAGAAAAAUCACAACAUUGUUUGGGCUUACAAAAUCCAUUUGAGAAAUGAACAGUAUUUUAUAAAAGGUGAGUUGUUAAGAAAUAAAAAAGAAUAUUCCGGAUAGGGGGAAGGCACGUGUUUCCAUUUGCAUUUAAACGCUACUCAUACGAGUCGUUCCUUGAACAUCCCAUGUGUCUCAAACAGUGAAUUCAAAUGUCUUUUUCAUUUUCAUUUCACCGUCGAUGAAUCACCUUGACACGUGUCAUUUCUAACCACCAUUUUUCGUACCACAUGUCCUCUCCCAUGCAAACUCGUCCACCACCAACCUCUUCAAACCGCCAAUCCCAUUCUCCUUUUAAAUCACAUUCUCAUUCCCAUUCCCAUGCAUAUCAUACAUAUCAUUCAUAUACACACUCAAAUAUCACUUAAACAUCAAUCAUGGCCUCUGAACAAUUGUCCCGCAGAGAAAUCACCACCACAACCGAAAGAGAGGUUCCCGUCGAAAAAGACAAAGUCCCUAAGAUCGCCACUCACUUCGAACACCUUUCUGUCAAAGACAAAGAACCUCCACAUGGAACCGUAGAUGCUUUCCAACAAAAUGAAAUUAACAAAGACCAUGCAGGGAAAGCUAUUGGAGACAUUGGUGGAACAGGAAAAACAAGAGAAACCCACGAACUUGGUUCCAAUUUUGACUCUCUCUCUGAUCGCAACAACAAACAGAAUGCUGCUACUAAAGACAGAGGAGAAGAACGUUUUGGUGGUGUUCGUGAUGUGGGAAACUUCGAAGUUGAAUCAAAAGGGAAUAAUAAUAAUAAGAGUUUAGGAGAUAGAGAACAACUCGAUAGAAGAACAAAAGUUGUUACUGGAACACCACAGCACAAUAAACCAACAAAAACAGAGUUAGGAACAGGACAAGUUGUAGCAGAGAAAGCAACAAAAGGUGAACAAAACUUUGGUACCGGAAGACUUGGAUAUGGUGCUGAAAAUGAACGUGCAAUAAGUGAGAAAAAUGCUGCCGAACAAAGAGAGAGAGAAAGAGCAAGAGAAGCCAAAGAAGAAGAAGAGAAAAGAUUAACAUUGGAAGAGAUAUCAAAGUAUAGAAACCAAGCACAAGAGAAUGCAAUGGAAGCGAUUUCAGGAGCACAAGAGAGAUACGAAGAAGCUAAAAAACCAACAAAUGAAACACUAACAAACACAACACAAACGGCACAAGGGAAAGAAGCAACAAAAGACACUGUUUCGUGUGCUGCAAAAACUGCGGCAGAGAAAGCAGCACAAGCGAAAAACGCAACUAUUGAAAAAAGCCAGCAAGGUUAUGAAGCAACGAAGGACACGGUUUCAAGUGCUGCGAAAACUGCGGCGGAGAAAGCAGCACAGGCGAAAAAUACAACCAUUGAAAAGGGUCAGCAAGGUUAUGUAGCGACAAAGGACACAGUUUCGAGUGUUGCAAAAACUGCGGCAGAAUACGUUUCUCCUGUGGCGGAGAAAACAAAGACUGUGGUGGUGGAUUUGAAGGAUAAGGCAACAGCGGCAGGGUGGACGGCGGCGCAUUAUUCGACGCAGUUAACGGUGGAUGGAACGAAGGCAGCGGCGAAUGUUGUUGAGGGAGCGGCUAGGUAUGCUGCACCUAAGGCGGCUGAGCUUGCAGCUAAGUCUGUGGAUGUUGUGAAAGGUUUGGCUGCUUCUGCUGGUGAGUCUGCUAAGGAGUUUACUGCUAGGAAGAAAGAGGAAUCAUGGAGAGAAUAUGAAGCCAAAAGGGCUUCUCAACCUCUUCAGGUUUUUUUCUCUUUUACACUCUUUUGUUUCUCAUCUUCUUUUUUAAUUUCUUGUUGCAUCAAGUUUCUUUGUUUAGUUUUAACAUCAACAAGUGAGUUCAAUAACUUAUUAUUGUUUAAUAUUAUUCACAGUCACAAAAACUAUCUUGAUUUUCUAGCAAAAAAUUAUUAUGAAUUUGAGAGGUUUUGUGUACCUCUGCCAGAACAUCAUAAAUAACCUAUUUUAUGAUAUUGUUGAAGACUAUUUUUAACUUCACACUGAAAAUUGUGGCUUUGAACUUAGGAAGGUGAAUAUAUACCAACAUCAGAAGGUAUUGGCGAAAAUGUGAGCAACUAUACACAAAAAAUGGUACCAACUGGUGAAAGAAUUCAAGCACAAGGUCCUGGUAAUCAAGUUGAUCAGGGGAGAGGAAGCAAUGUGGUAUCCAGCAUUGGUGAAACUGUUGGAAAACUUGGUGAGAAAGUGAAGAAACCAAUUGAAAACAUGACUAGUUCUGGUAAUCAAGUUGAUCAGGGGGGAGGAAGCAAUGUGGUAUCAGGCAUUGGUGAAACUGUUGGAAAACUUGGUGAGAAAGUGAAGAAACCAAUUGAAAACGUGAUUUCUUCUGGUGAAGAAAAAAAUCUGGAAAGCACAGAACAAGGAAAAGGAGGAAGUGAUGUAUUAGGAGCUGUGAAAGAAACUGUGAGUGACAUUGGAAACAACAUGAUUAAAUCAGGAGAUAAUAAAGUUGUAGAACGUGGUGUAACUCAAGAGGGUCAAGGUGGUGUUUUGGAUGCUAUUGGUGAAACUAUAGCAGAGAUUGCACAUACAACUAAAGUUAUUGUUGUUGGUGAAGGUGAUGUAGAAGAAAAACAAAAUAAAGUGUCAAUGAAGAAUAUUGGGUCAGAGUCUCGCUCAAAAAAUGAUAAUGCCAAACAUGAAGCUUAUCAAUCACCAAAGAGUGUUUAAUUACAUUACAGUGUGUUUUGUUUGAUGGAGGAAGUUUAGUAAUGUGUGGAAGUUUUCCAUGUUUUUUAGUUUUGUUUUCAUGGAGUUGUGAAUAAAUUGCAAUCUCUUACUAGAGAUUGUAAAAAAUAGUAAAUAUAGAUAUCUUAAAUGUUUUUGUAUGUCAUGUUGUUGUAACUAAACAAGUGCUGUUUCAUAUCCUUGCAAUUCUAUGCAUUUUGAGUGUAAUAAUAAUAUACUUCUAUUUAUUAUUAGUCUUCUAUUGCUAAUAUUAAUUAAAUAAGAAUGGCAUCUCCUAUAAUUCAUCAUUACAUCAUAUGUUUUGUUAGCAUGAUUAAGGAGUAUCUUUUUAUCUAGCACAAAAGUCAAUCCUCAUUAAAAUAACAUGCAAUUAUAAGAUUAACGUGCAAAACAUAUAUUCUGUAAAAGAAUUUUCAUUGUUACCAAUUAUAAAAGAGAAUGAAUUAACCAACUUGAGGAAAUGGAAAAAAAAAACUUGAGAUAAAGAGAAUAAGAUGAGUAACAAUCUAUCUAUCUAUUACUAACAAGAAAAUUGUAUUUUGAUACGUAUCAACUUUAUUUAAUGAACACUUAGCAUUAUCUAUUUACCAAGUAUUACAAUACUAGUUACUACUACUAGUUUACAAUACUAUAAGUUUCUAAUUUAUAAAAAAAUUACUUGCCUUACAAUAUUUUUUUUGUUAUGAUCAAUUCAAGAGUCCCAAAUAGGUCCAAAAGCAGGAACCUUAGCCUUGUUACAAGCUCUAACAACAUCUCUACUACCUUCAGGAUUACUAGUAACAAUAACAACUUCCACAUUCCAAUGAAUAGCAGCAUUCACACUCAUCUCAGCCACAUUAGGCCUACCUGAAACAGCAGUAUCAUGAACAAUGACUUUCUCUUUUGAAUAUCUACCAACCAAAUCUGUUAUUUCCUUUCCAAAGUUCAUUUCAAUAUCCUUAGCAACCCAAAUCAAACACACAUCAGCUUUUGUUGGCUGCAAAAGAAAUGAUAAGAAAACACAAAUUCCAGAACCUGUUGCUACUAACAACACUUUUUGAUACAAGUUUAUUAGGUAAGGUAAGCCAGCAAAAUGAACUGAACGAAUCCAAAGAUGUUUAGGAGGUGAUGAAACUAAUGAUUUUGUAAAAUCACCAACUGCACCAGCUAGCAUAAUGUGUUCUUUUUUACCAUCUGAUAUGAUUCCAAAUGCAUGCCAUUCAGAUAAUGGUGAUGGACUAAUUCUACCUAGUAAACCUGGUUUAACACCACCUUCAAAUUUAAUUAUUGAAGCAUGAUUUGAAGGUGCUGUGACACUAACUUGUACCCUUUUAAUACUUAACCAAGGAAUCAUAAUUAGAAUUGUGAUAAAUAAAGUUAACCAACACUCUUGUGUUUUAACCAUCUUUUUUAUGGUUAAAUGAUAGGUUUUUGAAGUAGGAUCAUAACUUAUGGUUAGAAGAAUGAAUAACCAUAGAAGAAUAAGAGCCAUCCAACCGGAGAAACGGUGGAUUCGCUCGAAAAGGUUGUGAUGGAGAUGGCGAAUAAGCGGAAAAGCUGCAAGUGAAGAAAGUGAAAUGAGUGAGAGGAUAGUGAAUGCAACACCAAGAAUCUCAGGUGAAGUGUUUUUGUCAUUGUUUUCUAUAGUGAGAACAAGAGAAUAAACAAGCCAUGCUAUGGAACAAACACCACAACUACUAUGAAUUCCUCCAAUACUUUGAAGAAAUGAAGUUGUUGCUGUUUUUAUUUUAAGAGGAACACAAAUGUUUCCAAUAGUCUUCACAGUAAACCAGAAAACAACUCUUAAAACCGCCUCGCUUCGACAGAGCGUUAGAGCUAGAAUGUUACCAAUGGAGAAAAGUGUAGCUCUUGAUUUAGCAUAAGGAAAAUGCCCUGUAGCUGAAAGAGCAAGUGCUAUCAUAUUCAAGGUUAUGCAAACCAAGAAUAGUCCUUUGUAAACUGUGAAACCUUGAUCUAGCAGAAUAAUCGACAACCUCGAAUUCCUCGGUGAUGGAUCGGGUUUUUGUAGUAGUUUCUGUUGUUUAACACUAUUAGCUUUUUCUUGGUUUUCUAUGUCUUGAAAUUCGGCUAGAAACUCUAGCUCGACAUCAUCAGCAUCGAUGUUUAUGUCGCAGAAGUGACUACUAGCUCGGCUUCGAGUUGGACUAGUGAUUAUAUGAGCUUGAGAUUGAGGUAGAAUUUUGAAAGAAUUGUUUCUAGUCCAUGGAAUCCAAAGCCAUGUUCCAGUUGUUCUCUCUGGCUUUGUUGGUGAUUCAACUGCAAAAGGGUUGCUUCUGUUUGAAUUGAUCUCGAAUGAGACGCCUCGGCAACUCGAAAAUCUUGCUAUCUUCAUUUCUGUGUCUUCCAUUUUCAAAUAUUGAUUGAUAGUGUACUCUUUGAUGAGUUUCAAUGUUCAUAAUACAAUGAUAAUGUUGAUAUAUAGUUGAAAUCCAUAUGCAGGUUACAUGUUAUAGUAGCUCUUAGACAAGGAAGAAAUUUUAAGAGUAUAAUGUGAAAAGGUUUUUUAUAUAUAGCAGUUUUCAUACGUAUAUUCUAUAACUGUAUAAAAUUUUAAAUAAGACAUGUAGAACUAGUUAAUAUCAGACCAACUAUUAGUGAAUGCAAUACUAAAAUGAGGAGCAUGUUCCAAAGUCAAAUCAUUUAAUUAGGUCAUUAUAUCAGUUAUUCAUAUUUUAGUAAAGAGAAUAUACUAUAUAUAGUUCAUCAAUUAGCUGCUGUAUGUUAUUUUCAGUAUCUCUUUGGAAAUGGAAAUUAUAUAACUUGUUACAUAAGUUAACUUAUAUUAGUUAUUUAUUAAUUGUAGGGAGUAAAUUCAAAUUUUUAAAAUGUGAAAUUUCAAUGCAUGAAAAGAAUGGAUGAAUAUUCUAAGGUCUUAGAAUUUGACUAUUGUACAUACAAAUUCAACUUUGAAGAAUGAAUUGAGAGUUUCUAAAGAUCAUUGUAGAGAUUAAAUGACAUUAUUUAAUCUUUUUUUUAAAAGAAAUUACUCUCUUCACCUAUAAAUAAAGAGACAUCUGAAGAGGGGUAAAGUAUACUCAAAUUUGGAUGAUUAUGAGACGAGUCGAAAAAUCUCCAUCUUGGUAGAUCAUUCGAAGAGUUGAGGUAUUCUCAACCAUGUCCUAGUGAGAGGAGAGGGUGUGGGGUGAUCAUUUAUUCUGUGAGAUGUGAGUGUUAUCAUUUAUUGCAACUCUUAGGGUUUGUUUGGUUCAACGGAUGGGAGGGAAGAUAUUUUUAUGAAGGGGAGGGGAGAAAAAGGAAGUUGAUACAUGUUUGGUUCAAAUUAGGAGAGGAGAGAGGAGAAAUUUUAAAUAAUUUUAUGUUUGAUUUAGAGAAGGUGAUGGAUUUUAAAUGGUUUAUUAGUUUAUUGAGUCAGUCUCCUCAAUUCGUCUCCAAAUCCUCUCAAAAUGGAGGGAGAGCAAAAUCAACUCAAGGAUGAAUUUUGCUCCUCUCCCCUCCCCUCUUAAAAUUUGAAUCAAAGAAAAAAACUUAAAUAUCUUACCUCCCCUCCCCCUCCAACUAAACACACUAUUAGAAUGAGAUAGUAUUGUAGAGUAAUAUACAUAUUGAGUUGGGUUACAAACUGUUGUAAUAUCUUAUUUGAGAUGAUAAAUAUAAUUUUGUUGAAAUGUUUAUGUAGAUGUAAGCAAGAGGUGCCGAACCACAUAAAUUUUUUUGUGUUCUCUAUUGCUUUUUUGUGGUUUGUUAUUGUGUGUUCAUCAAGGAUCCAUUGGCGUGUGAGUUAAUAGUUAUUGUGUGCAGAUUUUUCCAACAUUAAUUAUUAUGAAUGAGUAUUGUUCCAAAUUCAAGUCCCAUAUUUUGAGUAUGAUUCUUUUUGAGUCUUGUGCGUAAGUUCGCAUUGUUUUGUUUAUAAUAAAAUGCGCCAUAGAGGAUUGAUGAGUGCGGUUGUAUAAUGUCAAAUACCCUUAAUUUGAUUUCCAAGUAAUGCAAUAUUUUUUGAGUUAUCGGAACAAUAGUUUUCCAGUCGAGACAAAAUGGCUAAAAGGUUGUAGUUUAGGCCUCUACCUAGUGCGAUAAUGUUUUGACCUAAAGUCAUAUUUCUAAAGUAUUAUCCACUUUUGACUCUUGUAUGCAAACUCUCAAUAUUUUGUCAUUAGUAAAAUGUGUGUCAGUAAAACGUCUCAAUGAGGUGAAAUAUGUAUCUCUUACUUAUAAACUAUUUUGAUCUCGAUUUUCAAACAACUUAAAACUUUGUUAUUAUUUCAAGUUAUAUUUAUAUCAAUUGAAUUAUUUUAUAAUUCUAAAUAAGUAGUUGAGUAGAAAAUUAAGAGACACAAGUUUUAAAUAAGAGAAUUAGUAAUUAAAUUUUUAAAACUAACAUAAUUUUAUUUAAUAUACGUCUAUAAAAAGAAAAUUUGAACUUUUUAUGAAAUGUAUACAAUAAAUUUUAUUACAAUUUUAAACGUCUUUCUUACUUGUAAUUAAAAGACUUUAAAUGACUCGUUAUUCAUAUUAUCAACAUGGUUUGACUGAUUUAAUUUGGUGAUGCUAGUGGGUACAGGAGGAAGAAUAAUAAUGAGAGUUUGAAAUCUUGAUUUUAGUCGUUACUUUUUUUUAACCAUAAAAGACAAUAGAGUUAUAGGACAAUAAUAACAUUAAACUAUAACUCAUAAAAUCAUUUAAAAAAACGAUAUUUAUUAACUGAUCAUAAUUGAAUCUAACGGAAGAGAUUAAACUCUAAUAAUGAUACACUUCGAAUAUAAUUACCUUAUAUUAUUAAAAGAAUAUAUAAAAACUCGAAAAAGAAGAAGAAGGGUAUUUAGUAAAUUAGUAUAUGAGUAUAUUUAGUUAUACAAUGAGUUUAUAGUUUUUUCUUUUUGAAAAUUAAUAUGAGUUUAUAGUUAAUACGGUAUCGGUUGUUUCGAGUAAUAUUUUUAUAGUGGAAAUAAGCGCGUUGUUAUGUAGAGUAUGGACAAGCAUUAAGUUAAUGUGAAAAAAUGUAGACGUAAGAGGGACCAUGGUCAACUAAUUGGUAGCAUUUUGAUCAUUAACUAUAUUUCAUUCAGAUUCGGUUCUGUUAAUAAUAUCAAUUUGCACCCAUUAUACGUGCUAGGAUAUAAAUUAUAUUAUAUUUCGAUUCAAUAAACAAUGGCACAACAACUGCACGUUCGAAUGUGCCUCACCAAAAUACUCAACUCUACUAUAUGAUCAAAUUCUUUAGAAGUGAAAAGCUUUAGAAAGGUUAAUCAAAUAAUUUCAUUAAUUGUUGGCAAAUAAAUUAUUAGUUAAUAUUUUGUGUAAGAAUUUAAUUCUAAUACAUUUUAAUAUAAAUAGUUUUUAUACUAUUAAUCAGUUACAAUCAUUAAAUUAAUUAUAAUAUUUGAUUUUUACAAUAAUUAUUAUCAAGAUCAUUUGAAUGAUUGAUCAUGAUGUAUCAAUUGUGUAAAAAUAUAUAUUAUUAAUGUGUUGAUUGUGUAAAAAUUAUAUUAUUGGUGUAUGAAAAUUAAAUUCUAUACAUAAUCCAUAACAAAUUAUAGACGUAUUAUUAUAGAAAAUGUGUUAUCUUAACCAACUACAAUGAAUAUCAAAGUCAAGUAUGAACGUGUCAAAAAUGAAAAGAUUUUGUCUUCAUUUUCUUUUCUUUUAAUUGGGUAGUCUCUUAUACUCUCAAUCUCAUCCACAUUAUGCAUAUUGUUGCUAGUCAACAUAAUUAAUUAAUGCAUUAAAUAAUUUUCUCUAUUUUCUUUCUAUUUAUAUGAUUCUCCUCCUUUGCAUGUGGUCUAAUAACUCGCAAACGCAAUUUCGAGAGUCUUAAAUAAAUGUUUUAGUUUGAGCACGACUUCGUUAAAUGAGGGGUGAUGUGACUUUGGAUUAAGAGUUACACCUCCAAUUUGUUUUGGAUUUUGGGACAAGUAAAUAUAUUUUUAUGUUUACUUACUUUAUAAUAUAUACGUAGCUACUCUAAAUAAAUUUGUAAAUAAAAAUUGAAAAAAAAGGUAAAAAAUUAUCAUUUGAUUAAUAUAUUUAUUUAUAUUAUUUUGACAUUUUUAAUUUCUACUACAACUUUAAAUAAAACAAUUUUAACAAAAAAAUUUGUCAAGACAUAAUUUAUAAAUAAAAUUAAAAAUAAUUUUUUUACAGAUAAUUUAGUUGUUUAUGGUGAAAAAAGAUAUUACUAAUAAUUAUAAGUUUAAUAAUGUACAAAUUUGACUUAAAGCAUAGUCGAAAGCUAGUUUCCUAAAUAGUUGUUGUUUUUUAUUUUCUUUAUUGCAGUUUUAAUUUAUAUUUUAUAGAAAUUAAUUUCUAUGCACUUUGAUGCACAUGCAUCCAAUCAAAAUAUACAAAAUAGAUAUUUGUUGAGAUAUUAAGAACUAACUUGACAAAGUGACAUCAUAAAAUGAUUUAAUUGGAUAUACCUGUAAAAAUAUUUUACAACCGCGGUAUAUACAAAUUAAAUUUUAAUUUUAUAAAUAAAAAUGAUUAUGAAUUUUUCAUUUUUUUGCUAACAUGUUAAGUUUAAUAUUUUAAUUUUUUUUCCAUAAUUUUAAUUUUUUUUAUAUAAAAAUUUGACUCCUCACAUAGAUUAAGCUAACUUUGCCACUGUUGGGCCUUAUUGUAGUUUGAAGAAAAUUUUCCUUAAGAACCCAUAUGUUAUGUUUAAGGUAAAGGAGAAGUAAAUAGAUAUUCUAAAAGAAGAGUAAACGAGGCCAAUGAAUUUAACUAUCUAUUAUUUAAGUAUUUUUUUUAUAGAUGUAAUUAAGUUUAAGUAGUUACUGAUUUUAAAAUGUCAACAACAAAAAAUUAAUGAGCUUCAAUGAUUCAUUUUCUUGUUUACAAAAGAUGGUUUAUUGACGGACAAAACCUUAUUAGUUGGAAAUGUAUGUUUAAUUGUGUGAUAAUAUUUAGAAUUGUGAAUGUUCCAGUGCUUAGGACAUUGAAAAUGUAUGGUUAAUUGUGUGACAAUAUUUGGAAUUAUGAAUGUUCCAAUGCCUAGGACAGAGUUAGAAUUUUAAAUCAGUAGAGUCAACAUUAAAAAAUUACGAUUAAAUAUAUUUUUUUAAUAUGUAAAUAAAAAACUACUAUAAACUCACGCACAAUUGUAAAAUAUAAAGUUCGAAUUCGAAACAUAAUGUCUAACUUAAUAUAUCGAUAUUUUGGUAGUUUAGUUUGGAUUUAAGGGUAAAAACAUAUUUUAUUUUGUGUGAAAAAGCAUGUUUUUAUUAAACAUAAAAAUAAAUGAAGUUCAAAUGAAAAUUUAAAUUAAAAGGUGUUAUAUUUAAUCCUUUUUACAUAUAUUUAAGUGAUUUUAAAUUCAGUAAAAAAAAGUGAUUCUAAAUUUAUUGUAUUCAUUUGCAUAUAUUCACGUCUAUUGGAUAUAUCUUUGAUUGUUUUUUAAAAACAUAAAAUAUUGAGUAGCAUUUUCUUCAUUAAUGGGUGUAAUUUUAUACCACUUGUAAGUUGUUCAUUAUUUCAACAACUCAAGAAAAAUAAGGUUUAUAUUUUUCUUAUGUUGAUAAAUAAAUAAAAAAGCAAUAGAACGUUAUUUACCAUUAUUAGAUAUUAUUAGACAAUGUCUAAAUAAAGUUGAACAAAUAUUCAAGUAUCAAAUAGAUUUAUAGUUAAAUGGAGCAGGGGCCCAAGCACCCUCAAUUAUGAUAUUGUGAACUUGUACAACUCAUAGGAAGAAAUUCGUAGUAAUCUAGUAUCGUGUGUUACACAUUGAAGAAUCUCACAUUAUUCAACUUUGUAAUUUCCUUUAUAUGUUAUGUUUGUGUAGUGGUAUGUUUUUAUGAUAUUGUGUUUGCGCUAGUUGAUUUUUCUUAUAUUUGUAUGAAAUUGGUGUGCGUAGUUAAUAUAAAAAAAAAAAUUGUACGUUAAUAUUUGCAAAGAUAUUUUAAGAGAUAAUAUAACAAAGUGGCAAAAUUUUGAGGUACAAUUGGAUGCACAUUUUUAAAUCUUAUUUACCCAACAUUUCUUAGAUCUUUGGUAUACAUCGUCUCUGUAAAAAAAGUUGCACACAUGCAUCUAAUCCAAUAUCACCAUCAUGUCACUUUUAUUAUAUUUGAUCUAUAAAGUAUCUAUAAAAUGAUCUAGUAGUAAGGAAUGUUUGGAUAUACAUUUGUAUAAAAAACUUGUACUUGAUUUUUAGUUCAACGUAUAAAUAUCAAUACUAUUACGUUGAAUAUCGUAUUCUAAAUUCAAAUACAAAAUUUUGCAGUUGUAUAUUAAUUUUUGGUGAUAAUUAUAUCAUUUAAUAUAAAAAAUUACACUAAAAAUAUGUAUCAAUAGACUAUCGCGUUGUGCCAAAAUUGGCGUAACUGAUACCAAUUAAACUGUUAAUUUUAUAGUUUUUUUUACUAGUUUUAUAGUUUAUACAAUGAAUUUAAUUUAAGAUGGAAAAAAGUGUUAUUCAUACAUCAAAUCAUAUCUUAUUAUUGGAUAUGUCAUAAUAUCAUUUUCUAAAAUAUUUCCACAAAUAUUUAAAUCGUGAAAUCUAGUUAGAUGUCUAUGUAAACGUAUAUUAUAUUAUUGAUGCAUAUAAAUUAAAUAAUUAUAAUUUUUAAGUCAUAAUUUAAUUGACAAUUGUCGGUCUUAUUUUGUUGAAUGUCUUGUUUUCGAUUUGAACCUACAAUUAUUUUAAGAUUCAAAAAGAAAUUAAAUGAUUACAUAAUUAUUCUAUAUAUCCAACUGAUGCUAUAUUCAUCUCUACAAAAUGUAAGAUAUUACAAAUUGUGUGUUAGGUCAUUCUUCAUAUAAUAUGUUGGAGGUGGGGAAAUCCCUUCCAAAAAUACAGUGAGUAUAAAAGAGAAUUUAUUUUCUCUCUCCCUAAAAUUCAUUCAAAAGUAUAUAUCUAAAAUGAAAGAAAAAUUAAUUUUUAUUUUGUUUGAAAGUAUACUUUCAAACAAAUUUUUUCUAUCUAAAAAUUAAUUUUUAUUUUGUUUGAAAGUAUACUUUCAUAACAAAUUUUUUUUUCUAUCUAAAAAUAUUCUUCUAAAUAUAUUUGUGGUUUUAUCCGGUUAAAAUCAUAUGAUUAUAAUCCGGUUUAUUUAUAAAUCGGUUGGAUAACUACUUAUGUUUUAUAUUUGGAUUUGGUUUUUAUCCACUACCAAUAUUUCAUUAAUUUUGAGAUUUUAUUUCUUGAAAAAAUGAAAGAAAAAAAAUUUCGAAAAAACAUCAAAAAAAAAGUUUCUCAAAAAAAUUUUAAAUCGAAUUUUUUAAAUUGGUGAGAAUUUCUUUUUAAAAAUUUAUCGAAAAAAUUGAUUUUUUUAAAUAAUCGAUUUUUAAACUAUGAAUAAAUGAUUUUUAAAAAAAUUAUCAAAUUUUAAGCGAUUUAUUUUAAAAAAAGUCGAUUUUAAAAUUAAAAUUUUCAAAACCGGUUGUUUAAUUAUAAAUCGGUUAUUUAACCAUAACCAAUUUUACAAUUAGUUUUAUAACUGAUUUUAAACCAAAUAAUAGAUUUGGUUAUAAAUCUAAAUCCACAUAUUGAUUUUAAAAUGGAUAUGGUUUGGUUUUUUUUAAAAAAAACAACCAUGAACAACUCUAUUAUCAACGAUGGUUGUACACGUGAUAAUGGUCCUUUUUUAUGGUUUUUUUUUUUAUAAUAAGAUAAAAAAAAAUUAUUAUAAUUAACUUUGACAACAAUGUAGUCUCACUUCGAACUCAAAAUAUGACAUUCAAUCUAAUAAUAUCGACAUUUGUCAGUUAAAUUAGGAUUUUUUUAUGAAUUUUUAAUAAAAAAUUAUUUAUAUUUUUUUGUUGGAGAUAUUAUAAUUUAAUAUUUGUACUUCUUCUAUUCUAGACACAUCUUGUGUUUGGAGUAGUUUUUCUUUUUGUUUAGAAAUGAAACGGUAUAAUUACCAUCAGAAAUUCAUACACAAUUAUAAGAUCGUUCGAACUUGGAUUAUGAUAUUCAAUCUAACAAUACCAGUAUUUACCAUUUAAAUUAAGACAUAAGAACUUGAGUAGUUUAUUAAUAAAUUUGUGAUGGCUUGUGCAAAAUAAAACUUAAUGAAAACUUACUCAAAAAAUCAUAGAAGUUAUUUUGAAUUCAUUUGUUACAAAAAUGUUUAAAAAGUAAUUUUAAUAUUAAAAAACUUAAUUAUUCAUUAUUAAAUAUUUUAAUAUAAUAAAAGUUAUAUUUUUUUUUAAAAAGGUAUCUAUUAAAAAUUAUUUUUAUGGAAAGCUUUUGAAAAUAACUUUUCAUUUUAAUAAUUUUUUUAAAUAUCAUUAUCCAAAAAAAUUACAAAAAAUAGAUGAUAUAUUUAAUAUGACUUCUAAUGAUAAACUGUUUAAAUCAAUUUAUCAUUUGAACUUUUAUUGUUUCAAAAAAGAAAAUUAAAAUAAUUAUAACAAAAUUAUUAAAUACUAUUAAAAUCGAAAAAACUAUAACAAACAAGCCCAACAUCCAUUUUUCUCAAAAGAUAUGUAAUUUGAAGAACUAUUUUCCUUCAUAAUCCAUUAGAUACUAAAUUACUAAUAUGACCACCAACAAAAAUGGAGGUCUUUUAUUCAUGCUUUAGUAUGAGAACUAAUAUAAAAAAUAUUAUAAUUUUUUUAUUAUUCUCGCGAAUUCUUUUUAUUUCUUUGACGUACACCCUUCAAAAUACUACAUUUUUUGUUUAAAAGAAUAACCUUUUGACCUAUAAAUAAGAAAAUAAAUUGUAACCACAAGAGUAUAGAAGCUAAGUGUAUAAACCUUUUGUCAAAGAAAGUGUAUAAACCUAAUGUGAAUUCAGUCUUCAAUCUUGCUAAAUGUUUGCUAAAAGUUGAAUAUGAUAAUCUGACACAAGAAUUCCUCUUGUUCAAGGCACAGUUCAACUGUGGCGUCACAAGCAACAAUAUAGUUGACAAUGACUUUGAUGAAGUACUAAGAAAAAGCCAAUCUUUUCCAACCACAACUUGUACUUCUCCAAUUGUCAAAAGAUUACACCCAACACAAAAUCGAUAAUACUGAUACGUAAAUACCGAUAAUUAUUUAAGAAAAUAAUCAUGAAUGAAUGAAACUAUAUGUAUUAGUAUUGUGUUUGUGUCAAUACCAAUACAAAUGAGGCAUUAGGCACACAUUCGAAAGAGACAUUAGACACGCAUUUAAUAUAAAUAUUUGUAGUUCUACUUUUACAAUUUAUCUUCUAUUGACAAAAUUUUGUUGCUUUCAGUGUUAAUAACUAUAUAUCAGUGCUCAAGAUCAUAUCAGCCAACAAAACAGUAAUCGCUCCAAAUUCAUUAAUGAAUUAUAUGCACAAGAAACAACACAAUACCAUGAACUGUUCAGUUUUUUCUUGUUCAACUGCAAUUAUUGAACCAAAUACUGUUAAUUUUCCAAAGAACCCAAAAACCACAAAGAUUAACAGUGAGUCAAAAACUUGAAUAUAUCAAAAAAGAAGAAAUUGAAUUGAAACAAGCACUAACAAAACAUAAAUCUAGAGAACUCUGAUACAGUUAGCAAAGAGAAACCAUCUCAACAUGGAAUCUUAGAAGUGAACCAUUCCAUGACAUGAAGUGGAGCCUUCACCAAUUCCAAAGCAAGCUCAACAAUUACUGUAAGGCACAAACAGCAGGGGCAUAUGCAUGUCAGCAACAACCUGCAAAUGUUAUGAAGCAAAGUUUUAGUCUUUUUGAUAUUUUCAUUCAAUCAGAACCAAACCCAUGUCCCAGAAAAAGAAAUCACACCAACCCCACAACUAGAAUAUGAAAUUCAAAUCACAUGGUAAAUUUACAUAUUGAAGAUGCCACAGAAAAUUGAUCAUAGAUAAAGAGAGAAAGAGUGAUGAGAAUUUUACCCAACAAUCCAUACAAUAAGACCAAUGAUUGAGAUAAGGAGACAGAGAAAGGCAAAGGGAAGACCCAAGAGAAAACCCAACGGCCUGCAAUCACCAUUUGAAUUACACAUAAUUUAUAUGUAUUAUGAGUUUUCUUUGGUUUUUGUCUGAGAAAGUAGGUGAUAAAAAGAAAGAGAAGGAGAAGUAGGCUUUUCACUUGACUAUCCUUGUUAUGAGUUAUGACUCUUUUUUGUUUUUGGAAGGGAAGAGAAGAGUGACACGUUUGUUACUUAAUUAUUAAAGACUUUAAAGCCAAAGCAACUAUUCACUUGAGACAACAAAUAAACAGCUAGCAACAGUAAAUGGUAUUCAAAAGUCAAUUGUUACUAUACAAUAUAUUUAUUGAGGUCAUUUUUAUCUUCCUAUACAUACAAUAUAUGCAAAUCAAUAUACUUAUUUUUAUUACAUUACAAUAAUCAACUAAUGCUAGAAUGUAAUUCCCACAAGUAAUGUGAAUUGGAAUAAAUUAUUAAAAUAACCUGGCAAGAAAACCUUUAUUAUUUAAAACUAUAUCAUUCGAAAUUUUGAAAUAAUUUACCAAUUAUAAUAUCAACCUUUAAGAGUAUAAAUAAACUCGCACGCAACAAAGAGUUUCAGGUUUGAACCUGAUACAUAGUAUGCAGUCUAACAAUUUCGACAUUUACCAAUUGAAAUAAAUCCAUACUACUUUAAACAUAUUCUUUUUAAGCUUUUAAAGAUUCUAUUUGUCAAUAAUGUUUUGUUUAAAUUAAUAAUAUUCCCUGCCAUUUAUUUAUAUUAUUAACAGCCUAGCAUGUUCUAUUAUUUCUCAAUUAUGUAAGUCCGGUUCCAAACCAUCAUUGUGGUCGUUAAGAAAAAAGUAAGUCCUCGGAGUAAAACCUACAUUUAAAGUUAAAUAAGAGAGUAAAAUACUUAACUUCAUAAAUUGAGUUAAUAAAUUGGGAUGAAAAGUGCAACUACACCUAUAAAUUUAAAGGAUAAAGUGCUUGACCCUAAAUAAUAUAUCAAAGAUAUGAAGGUCUGCGGUUACAUGAGUCAUAAAAGGCCCUAUAAUAAAAUAAAAUACGCUAAGCCAAGAUCAUUGACUUCAAUCUCUUGGGUGUGUUGCUCUAAGCCUCUAAUGAUCUUAGGCAUUCGUAAAUUUGUGUAUGUACAUCAUGCCAAUACUAACAGGCAACAACUAUAAUUUAUAUGCACGCAAAGUAAAAAACAAUUUUGUCACUCCCUUUUGAUCACGCUUCUCAUUGAUAGUGGAUUUCGGAAUUUGCAUCAGCACUUGCAGUCAAAGUUGACAACUUGCUAAUGAAAUAAUUGCAUCACCAAACUCAUUACUACAAAGUAGCAUAUCGUACUCUUAGGCUUGUUGGCUGUUGGGAGACAAGUUCCAAUUGAAGACAAUUUGCUCAUGAUAUUGUGCCAAGAUCAUUCAGGUGGCCUUGUCAAACUUGCAUUCUCGCUUUCCAUAGCAAUGAUGGAAGCCAUCCUCUCAUAAACCUAUAACACCACAUCCAUAAGUAUCACUAUUAAACAUAGCAACCCUUUAAUUAAUACUUGCAUAAGUUUCAAUGCAAUAUAUUCCAUUAUACAUUUAUGACAUUGAUAAUGCAUUAAUGUCUAACAAGAAUAAUUUAGUAAAAGUAGUAUUUUCUCUCUUUCAUUUAUACACUUUUCUUAAUAUAUGUGAAAUAAUUAAAUGACUCAAUUAUUUUGAGACGGAGGGAGUAUUACAAAUAACAGGCCAAGACAGAAGAAGAAUCUUGCCUUAGGAGGGGCCAAGAAAGCUUUUUAUAAAGUUACAGGCACCUAAUGAUCAAAAUGUUGUGGCAAAUGCUGUAAUUAAUGGUGAUGUAUAUAAUAUUUGUAAAAGAAAGGAAAAGCUAAUGUUUGAGACAAUAUUUGUGACUGUCUUUGUUUAAAUAAUAAAUACAUGAAUUUUUUUUCAGUUGAAAAAUCAGCAGGUAUCAAGCAACCCGUCAUAGCUCUGUCCUGAUACAUAAAUGGCCAAGAUGAUUGUUACUUACUUCAGAGAGCUGUUUUUUACUGUCAUCGUUUUCUUUCUUGUCUUGAUUGCUUAUUGAUGGUGCAUCAUACCUAGACAGGAGAAACGAGACAAUUUUUAAAAAGUGUAAGAUUAAUAUGGAGAGAUUAAGAUGGAAAUUUCAAUUAUGUCAUAUAGCAUGAGCCUGAAACAUAGUACAGGCAAGAAAACCUACCACAACUAUACAGUUUCUUACCAAUCACGGGGAAUGCCAGCUUCCUCUCGAGCCGCAUAAUUGAAGGGACCCUUUAAUUCCACAUGGUAUUCCUUUAGCAAGUCUGUGGUUAUAGAAAAAUUUCAUGUUAUGAUGGUAUGUGAGCAGAUAAGCUGGUGUAAAACAGGCUCCCAAACCUUUAAAAGUGGAAUCCGGGGCACGACCCAUUUUUUGACAGACAGAAACAAACCAAUAGAGCCCAACUGCUACAUGUGCAACUUCCUCUUCAGCAAUUCUAGCCACAAUUUUAGAUGUCCUAUUAUCUCCAAAGCCAACUAAUUUUUGCACCAAGCGUGGCCCAGCAUCAAGUCCUCUAGCCUCCUACAAAUUUAGAUGUACAUUUAGAAAAUCAGGAUCACAUAAUUUUAAGUAACCAAUACCAAGGGAGACCAUUUUUAGUCACUUUAGUAAGACAAAGUCAACAUAAAAAUUGAUGCAAAAAUUGUUGUGGACUUGUGUCAAUCAUCAUAACUUCAAACAAGAAGUUGAUCAAUCAGUCCUAUAUAAUCAGCUUGUAUAUAAAGAGUCUGCUGGAAAACUUAACCAAAAUACAGUGUCAAGACAAUUUUCCAGUACUAGUAUAUCAAUUUCAACCCACAACACAUGAUUGAAAAAUAUUAUCCAAAUCAACAAUGAUGCCUACCAUAUUAGCAGCAUACAAAACAAUUCAUUGUUAUAACAGUGAGAAUAUUUCCACUCGCCACAUUUUAUAACUGAUACAGUCAAACAAAAUGAAUUACAGGCUCCUGAAAAUAACUGCAUCGUCAUAUUUAUUAAGCAUUUUUUCUCCAAAUGAUGUCGACUACAGUGUGCUGAAAAACAUCUACUUGAGACCAAAAUGGAAAACAAUAUUACCUGGACUAGUGGGAUCACUGCCAAACGUGCAGCAACGUUGUCUGAUGAUUUCUCACAUUCCCUCCAUAGCAAAUUAUGAGCUGGCAUAUCUCCAUAUCUAGUUGGAAAAGAGAAGCAAAAAUAAAAAAAUAAAAAAUAGCGCAACCAACUAGUUUUGCCCAAAAAUUGAAGUAUAAUAAAUUACCCUUACUUGAAACCCAGUUCAGCAAGCCUCUGUGAACACCAAGCGAAGUGGCGACUCUCGUCAUCAGCAACAUGAGCAAAAUCAGCAAAGAACCCCUCCCCAAGAAUGUCACUAUAGGGAGAAAAUCUAACAACAGUAUCCCAAGCCAAAUCAAUUGCAUUGAGCUCCACAUGUGCUAAAUUAUGAAGCAAGUAGGCAUUGAGAGGCAAACCCGAGCUUUUAGGAGCAGGAAUUUCCUUAGUGGAAACCUGAAAUCAAAGAAAACAACUUCAUUAUGCAUUAUACCACGCCUAUCAGUAUGUUACUACACACGCCAGACGUACCUCAAAUUCAAAACAAAACUGAAUCCAAUCAAUAUAAAUCUCUAUAUUUAUUUUGAAUAAGAAUCCCAACAUGAACCUCAAUUCAUUCUAAUGAAUCACAACUUGCCUCUAAACUUUGUAUGGCCACACUUUUUUUUUCAACUUUACAUUGGCACACUUUUAUUUUUAUCAUUUUGAUAAUCUUGAUUUAUUUUGAUAUUCGUAUAUAAUAUAUCAGCUUAUAUUUUUUACUAUGUCACUACUUUUUACUUAAAGAGUGCCAUAUUUUAAUUGAUCAUAUCUAACUAUGCAUUCAUUUCUUAAAAAGAAUUGACAGAACCGAUACUAGGACAAUAUGUCUUUGGAUUCACGAUUAGAAUAUCAGAUUUAAUAACCAUGGACAGAAGAGAAUGAAAGAAUUCAUUCACGAAUUGAAACAAACAGGUGGUGGGCAAAAGAGAGACCGAACCAGUUGUGGUUUUUCAGGUCGGGCGGGUCGAGAAGGAGGAUCGGAGAUGCCGAGGGGGAGGUUGCGGCGGCGCCAGAGAGAGUAUGCAAGGUGGGAUAGACGGGACUUGGCGAGUGGGUCGGCGGUGGAAAGAACAAUAGAACCAAACUCGGCCAAGGAAGAAGCUUGGCCGAAUGGGGAAUCAUCAUGGAGGUCGUGUUCGGGUUGAGGACCAAGUGGACCCCACUUGCGAUUUCCGUUGAGAGGACUGUCUCUCCAUGAUUGGAGACCAGACCAGGGCGUAACGCAUGAAGAUGAUAAAGAAGAAAAGCAUCUCAGCUUCAGGGAUCUAUGAGAGCAAUGCCAAAGUGUGUGUGAUGUUGAUGGUGAUAAUAGCAACAUCGUGAGUUUGAGAUGAUGCAUAGCAUUACUAUGGUAUAGUUUUUGUUUUAAUUUAUCGCAAGUAUGCCACUUAUUUACUUUUAAUCUAAUUUUUCAAAAAUAUUUAAAAAUAAGGAAUCACUUUUAUUUAAAUCAAAAUAAAUGUUUCUCCUAUAAAACAAACCCCAAAAUUUUAUGCCAUUGACACUAUAGUGUUAACUUCAACAGUGAUGAUGCGACAUUUUUCAUUAGUUAUUAACUUCAAAUUUGCUUUCAUUUGCUAAUUAAAAGGUGGCACUAUAAUUUAUUUAUAAAAUUGAUAGUGCAAAAAUAAGUAUCGAAAAAAUUUAUGUUACGAGGAAAGUGAAAGAAAAUUAGCAGGAGAUGACUCCAAUGAUGAACUUUUCAUACACUAAUACUACAUAGACGAUAAAUUAUGUUUAAACAUCAAAGUGGGACAUCAAAUGCAGCAUCUCUUUAUUUUUGUGGGGUAAUAUGAAAAUCUGUGUAAAGUUCAUAAUUGUAUAUAUAAAUAAGAUAAAUCAAAUAUUUAACCAAAGAAAACGAUAAGAAUCAAAUAAGAGAUCUCAGCUGAAUUGUCCCAAAAUUUACAAUAAUUUGUAUUGUAAAACAGUUGUAAGCACCACUUGAGAUGAUAGACCCGCAGCUCAAUUGCUCAAGAGAUCUCACCAAGACAGGAUGAAUGUCAAGUUUCCUUGAAUAUAUGAAAAGUAAGACCCCCACCAACCCCUAAUGCCCCUGUAUAAUGUACUAACCAAACUAAUGCAAAAUUCAUGCUACUGUAUGGAAUGGGAUUUCAUGUGAACCAAUAAUGACUUUAAGAACUUGGAAUUACAAUUUAUCUAUAAACUAUGAAUCUGAAUCUGGCAGUAAAUAAUAAAUAACAAGUCAUCAAUGUAAUUUCAUGAGUAGCAGCAGUAGUUAGUGAUGUACACUUCUACAGAAAACUAUCUAAUUAUCUUCACAUUCUACCAUAUAUUAUACAAGAGCGUGUUAUCACAAAUAAGGCCAUAAAUAGCAACGGAUCAACAGUUUCACCAAAUGAGAGAACAGAUCCUGUACUCUGCACAGUAGGAAAUCACAGGUGGCCUUCAGCGGCUUCCUCUACAAACCAAAUGCUAUGUUCAGAUCCAUAAUAUGGAAGCUUGAAAAAUAUCAACAAGACAAGCAUCACAACACUAUCUAAUCUAAAUAUCGGACAUCUGCCACAUGAAAUGAAAAACAAAGUUAGGACUUGGGAGUAGUUCACACUUUCUAAACUAUGAUCAACAUUAUUCAGAUAGCCUGAUCAAUCGCAAGCAAAAUUUGUUGGUAUAUCCUCUUUCUUUAUGUGCUUUAAUACAGUGCAAAUUGAAUGAAUCAGGCUAUGCCGAAGAAUGUGUACACUAAAGCAGUCAUGAAAAGGCGUAUGAUUUUCACUUUUGAUGCUUCAAUUUAAAUUGAAGUAACUAUAACACUGUUUAGCAAUUAAAAACUAACUCAAUAAUACAAACUAGCAUCAAAUAUUUCUAAUUCGGACAAAACUGCACUCUAUAUACACAUUUGCAAAAAAGAUCUACAGCACAACACUGAUCAAUAGCCAUAAAAGCAGAAAUAUCAAUCUCAAUUGUUAAACCUGUAAAACAUGACUAUCUUGAAUUUGCGAAUUUCCAAUAUGUAGAUAUAAACUGAUCGGUGAAGUUAACCGCUAAUGCUCAUUAAUGAACAACACAAUGAUGAAUGGAAGUUAAAAGAAGUUAUCUUGAAAGAUCAUAGUACAUAUAUACCUCUGAAAUCAAAAGACAGAAGCAUAGACAAUUUGAUGCAGAAAUAUACAAGACAAAAAGCAGAGCAUACAACAAGGAAGUUUUGGAUUUUGGAGUUUCUGAUUUACCUCCCAGAAAGUAUUCAGGUUCACUGCGACCCUGCAUCAGACCCAGAUGCUGAGGAACUAUCACUGUCAGAAUCUGCAAAAGUACGUUAAUAUCAGACAUUGCAUUUGACCAAAAGUAUAAACAGGGGUGAACUUGCAUAACCAUGAAUCAUGUCUAUUAAAUAAUUGAUUAAUGUACCACUUGAUGAAGAGCCAGAAUCACUGCUUGAACUGCUUGAGCUACUAGUCUUACUCCCAUUAUCCACUCGAAUUUCCCCUAGCACGGGCAAGGAUGGGGGAACAUUCCUUUCAUCUACUCAAGAAACAGGCACACAAAACAUUUCAAUUAAUUUAAUUGAAAAGAUGAUAACAGAUAUCAACAUAGUCCACACGUUGCCAUACCUGCUUGUGUUUCUCUUGAGACAUCAACUAUAACUGGUGGUGCUUGGCUCUACAGGAAGCAUGAAAUAAAUUAAAUUAGUAACAAUUGUUUGACAAAGAAGACAGUGGCUGUUAGAAGUUGAAAUUGCAAACUUUACCUUCUGGAGGGCAAAUUGCUCAGCUUCUGCUCUAGCUUGCAUAGCAAGUUCAGCCUUCCUCUUGUGUUUGCUCAAACUUUUCUUAUAGUUGGUAACAAAUCUAUCAAGCUCCCAAAGAGUCUCAGCAUCCACACUAUCAAUAUCCACUUCAAUUUCAUCAUCAUGUUGGGAAAGUGCUGAAUUCCGUUUCUUAAUGAUCUGUACAAUUGCGUCUAGUUUCUCAGAAGGUAGACUCUGAAGAUUUGAGCUAAGUUUUUGCUUUUCCUCAUAUGUCAUGUCUCUUUUAUGAGGAUCUCUUGCCUUCGGCUUUUUUGGAGCGGGAGUUCGAGAUGAAGGAGUAAUGUUCAUGGGUUUUGGAGGUCGUGUCAUUGAUUCUGACUUAUCUAGAAUCCUUCUCAUGUCAAGAGGUGGUGGCCGGAAACCAGGAGUCUUUCUAGACAAAGGUGAAGGAAUAGCUUGCCCAUAAUCCAUUCCAUACCUCAUCUCAUGAUUGUAAUUUGACUCUACAAUUGCCCAUCUUUCCUCAAAUAACGUCGAUAGCUCCUCUGCCAUUAUAUGAACGUCUUGCCCUCUAGGAUUAUACGUCAUCGCAUUACGAAAAGUAAGUCUAACAUCCUCCGCAAACUCCUUGGGUGAUUUGUACCAAUUCUUGUUCAGCCUCGACUUCACAGUACCCAAGUCCAUUGGAUGUGAGAUGAUAAUAUAAUAAUCAUGCAAACCAAGACCUUCAACAUCAACUGGAGUAUUAAACACCCAACAAUGCUUGUGUUUCAUCAACUUUUCAAGCAAGGAACUACAGCUCUUUAAAUACUUCAAUCCUAUCCCAACUCCAUGUCCCAUUUCUCUCCCGCCAUGCUUCUUGCCAUUCGAUUUUGACUUCUUGUUACUCUCUGCAGGCGGAAACUUAUCUUUCGCAAGCAAGAACUCCGAAUUGCAAUAGAACUGGUUCGCCUUUGGUGUUCUCUUCUCCUUCUCAAUAUUUUCACUGAUCCCUUGACUAUUCUCCAACACCAUUAGACUUAUCUGGCGCAUGGGCCUAGUAGCCUCUCUUGAAACACCUGCAGAUGCCACCUCUGAGUGACUACGCUUAGCUCCACCACCAUUAUCAACCCUAUGACGAUCCACCGACAUAUUCAAAUUACCACCAUACCCACCAACCAUCGCUUGCUUCUCUUCAAUCCUAUUCACCAGAGACCUCACCUUUUCAAGCUCACUCACAAGCUUCCUCUUAUGUUCCCGUGUCUCCCGCUUCGACCGCGAACCAAUUCCAAUCUUAACACCAUUCUCCAAUCCCUGCUUGCCAACACAGUUCCUCAAAGAUGGUUCUAUCAAACCACAAGCUUCUUCUAGCUGAACAUUGAGCGUGAAAUGCUCAUCCUGCCGACGGUUCAGGCUAGAUGAGUCUUCAGAAACCACUACCGGAAGAGCUGAAUCCCCGCCCUCCGGAGCCGAAAUCCGAGCCGGCGACUGAACCAAAAUGUUGUUACCAUUAUCCUUAGUCCCAUCAACACUAUUUUCAACAGUACUGUUGACAGCAGUAACGGUGGUACUGGCGGUAGUGGUUAUGGUAGCAGCGGAGGAAGAAUUAUGAAGAGGAACAACGUUCAACGUGUUACCUUUAUUCUUUGUACCUCUGAAAGCUUUUCUUGUGUACACCUUGCUUUCCGAGUAUCUUUGAAUCUCUCUAACUCCUUCAUCUCCAACUAUAGGCCCCGAAGCCAUACAUUCAAAACCCUAAUUCUAAUUUUUCCUUCACCGAACACCAAUUCCAAACCCUAGAAUACGAAUCUAUGGUUUAAUCAACCCAAAAAUGGACGAAUCGGGUCCGGUGAAGAAUAUUCCAAAAAAUUUAGGGUUUUUCCCCGGUCAAAUUCAAAAAAUAGGAGAAAACAAAUCGAAGAAUCAGAAACGAAACCAACGAAGAAGGAAACAGAGUAAACGAAGUAGCACGCAGAGAAGAUAGAGUUAUUCAGAUCCGAUCUAUAACNNNNNNNNNNNNNNNNNNNNNNNNNNNNNNNNNNNNNNNNNNNNNNNNNNNNNNNNNNNNNNNNNNNNNNNNNNNNNNNNNNNNNNNNNNNNNNNNNNNNNNNNNNNNNNNNNNNNNNNNNNNNNNNNNNNNNNNNNNNNNNNNNNNNNNNNNNNNNNNNNNNNNNNNNNNNNNNNNNNNNNNNNNNNNNNNNNNNNNNNNNNNNNNNNNNNNNNNNNNNNNNNNNNNNNNNNNNNNNNNNNNNNNNNNNNNNNNNNNNNNNNNNNNNNNNNNNNNNNNNNNNNNNNNNNNNNNNNNNNNNNNNNNNNNNNNNNNNNNNNNNNNNNNNNNNNNNNNNNNNNNNNNNNNNNNNNNNNNNNNNNNNNNNNNNNNNNNNNNNNNNNNNNNNNNNNNNNNNNNNNNNNNNNNNNNNNNNNNNNNNNNNNNNNNNNNNNNNNNNNNNNNNNNNNNNNNAACGCUUCGGUGUUUCUCUCUUUCUCUCUCUGCAAACGUGAUAUCCUCUUAUUGCAUCACAGAUGUACGGCAACGGAAAAGUUCUUCUGUGGAACCGUGAAACGGAACGCGUCUGGGGGUGUACCACAAAGUCUAACCCGCGAACGAUAAAUGCAUCAAAUUUUGGGGAAAAUAACUCACGCUACCUUUUGGAGCGUGUAAUGCACGUACGAAUAAGAUGUUGUUUGGCUUUGGUGUUGUUGGUAACGCGGCACUUGAAGGGAGAGAGUCUAUUGUGGCGCGGAAUUUCGUUUGCGAAAAUUUGAAAUGUUUUCAUAGGCGGAUGUUUGGCGCGUGGCGUAUACUUGUCGGGACGGAGUAGACUGGAGUAGAUCAGUUCCCGGAAAGGAUCUGCACGCGCCGGUGAGGCGGUUGAAACGCAUCGCUUCACUGUGGACUCUUUUUAGGCUUGUUUGUUCCUUCCUUUGGGCCUAUGGUGUUCUUGUAUCUGUGUGUAUAGCCCAAAUUAACAACUGGGGACUGUCUCUCAAAAUAACUUCAAAUUUUAACAAACUUUUUGGAGCAAAAUUUUACCAACUUAUAAAUUCAUUCUUGAAAUUUAAACAUGUUAAAAUAAUUUAUCCCUUAAUUUUUUAACUGUUUAAGGAAAGUAUUCAAAUUUUAUUGCCUCAUAUACAUAAAAGAUAAAUAAAUCAACUUAGCAAGGUCACUCUAAAAAAAAAUAACUUAGUUUUUUUUUUCAUCUUCAUCUAGUAGUUUAGGAUCAAUUUUUAUUUAAAAUCACCAUUUUAAAUUAUUUUUUCAUAUUGGCAUUGUGUUUCCAGAAGCAAAUGAACUAUCAACACCAGUAAAUAUUUUUUUCGAAUAUAAAUGACAUUACAGAUUGUAUAUCUCGCAUUAUUCUUGACUAUUUGUCAUUAAAAAAAUAUUAGUUUGUUUGUUAUGAUUCAAAUUUUGAUUAAAUUAAUUUUCAUUAGUUUAUACAAUUUUGAUGUGUAUCGUUCGUGCAUUUUUUAUUUUUUUUAAUUAUUAAAUUACUAUUUUUAUUUUAGCAUGAAUGAAAUUUAUUUUUUCGAAAAAAAAAUCAAGUGAUGAACGAAAUCCAAUUUUUAAUAAUUUGAAGUAAGGCUGGUUCAAUGGACACGAUAUAACUCUUAUCUUACAAGGAUUGAAUUUUAUAUUUCAUCUUGGAUGUAGAAACAUCGCAACGAUUAAUCCGUAAGUAUCUCUUUGAGCAUUUGACAUUGAGGGCGAUCUAGUUUUAAUGACUCAAUAUUCAAUUACCUAAUUUAUUUUGCUAUAAAAUGUCUCUAUCACAUCCUUUUUAUAACAUUGGAGUGUCCGAAAAAGACCUUGGUAUAAAUGCUACCAUGACAAGAUAUGCAUCUUAAUUUACUUACAUUCAUAAAUCUCAACUACUUUUCACACACUGUUUUAUAGGUUGUUUAGUUUUUUACCUUAAUAAUCGAUGGUCAACGUACGCGUAAAUAACAUAGCAUGAUCCUUAGUGAUCUUACAUAUAAAAUACGUUCAGAUUUUAAUUAUAUAAGAAAAAUACCAAUAUAAAAUUGUACGCAUAAAAUAAAGUGUUACAUUACAUUUUUAGUAAGAGAAGUCAAUGGUGUCUAGGGUCAGGCCCUUGAGGACUUAGUCGUUCGGAGUCGUAGAGAUUUCGAAAUUUAUGUUCGUCUUUUGCAAAACUUGCUCUAAGUAACUGUGAUUUUUGAAUAAUUUGUUGGCAACAACCCUUGGCUUGGAUCUUCUUAUUAAUCUCAAUGAUUGCAUCAAGUGAACGACUUUCCAUCUUGGUAAAUAAUAAUACCAACAAAAUUAUUGAGCAUACUACUUGCUUUAAGUUUGCCAUUUCUCUCACAAAACCAAGGCAUCAACGUUUUAGUGAUUCCAAUUGAAUUUUCAGACGGGUAUAUAUAGUAGAUACUCCCCGUGUCCCUUUUUUAUAUUUAAAUCAAAGCUCAAAUAUUAUAUUCAUUUUCUUGCUUAUGUAAAAAAAAAAGAACCAUGCUUUGUUUUUCCAUUUGAUUUUUUUAAUGACAAAUAGGAUUUUCUACUUUUGAUUUCUAACACGCCUUAUUAAGUUUAUAAUUAAGAAGGAUUAAAGGAUAUGUACUUCAAUAAAAAUUUAUUACUUUGCUUCUUCACUUUAUUUUUAUAAAGUAUAACUACAUUUUAGAAGUGCGGUGAUAUAUAAGACAUGGUAGAAAUAGAAAAAAAUAUAUUAAAUAUCUAUUUAAAACUAUUUUUAUAUAUUGAAUAUUAAAUACAAGACAUUGAAUGAGUAUUGAAAAUGAAGUUAGAAGUUAGAUGUCUAUCACUAACAUUUUCCUCUUCCCACUGACUAAUUAAUGAGUAACGUUAAUUAUUCUUUUCUGCUUUUCAUGAAGAAAAUCACUCUAAGUUUAGAUAUAUAAUCACCAAGUUAAAUAGUUUGGAUCUCAUAUUAUAACACAUGUUUCUUGCAAUUUAAAAUUAAUAUAGUAGAUCAAAUCAUCUUAAGUAUGGGUGCGUUAAAUUGCUGAUUGUGGGUAUAAUAAACAUAUGUGACGCUAAAACACGUACGAUUAAAAGGCAAGGAAUAAAAUGACGUCAAAUUCCAAUCUGAGAUUCUUAAACGUUGCUAACCAAAGAAAUAGAUGCUAAGUGAAGUCAAAUGGAUUCAAAUUUGUCAUAUUGUACUUAUAGUAAUGUCAUUUUCUUAAUCCAUUUAUUUUAACAAAAUACUUAUUAAAUUGUGAGUUGGAUAUAAAGAUUUAAAACUUGAGCUGUCUACUUUCACUAGGAAGCCUUUCAAAGUCUAGAAAGCUAUAUUCAUAUUAACACUUUUUCCUUAGAGAGGUUCCAAAGGCCAUUUAGUUUCUUUUAUUUGGUGGAGAGUGUGGCGUUCUUCAGAUAUCUUCUUCAGGAGUUUAAAGAAUAGUAACGUCACAUUGCAAAACUGUUGCAAUUAUGUUUGCACGAUUGACGAAAUUAUAUCUUUAUAUUGAAUUAAUUUAUCAUUGCAAAAUUAAAUUGUGAUAUAUUUAAGGUAAAUAGAAUGAGUUUUUUCAAAUAGAUAACUUAUAAUAUUAAUUGUUUUAUUUAAAUCCUUUAAAGUAAGAUAUAACUUUAAAAGAAAAUACAAUGCAAAGCAGGUCGAUAUAUACAAGAAAUUUUUUUAAUCCCUUACAUAUUCAUAGGCCUCUCAAAAACUUCAAAUUAUUCCUUACUCUUUCAGAUAAUAAUUUAUGAGAAACUCACUCUAAUAGUAUAUAAUGUAAAAAUAUGAUUAAAAAAAAAUCAAAUCAUAUACACUAUUGAAAGCGUUAUUCCGACAAUGUAUUUUAUAUGAAACACAAUACACGAAGUUCAAAACGAGUAUUUCAGUUGAGUAUUUGACAGAAACAUUGGCAAUCAUUGAUGUGUACUAAAAAUAAUUAAAAUUAAAACAGCAAUUUGUGCUGAAAUUUGACAGUACAAUGUAACAUGACUCCAUUAAGUUAAUGUUUGCUUAAACUAGCUAGUAUAUAUGUUUUUAAAAAUAAAAGUUAUGCUAAGAUUUUGUUGAAAAUGUAGCGAAAACUAAUGGAGUACAGCUGGUGGUGGAAGAACAACUCUGAUGACAAGAAAUAAUUGCCAUGGUGAAAAAGCACCAAUCAGAGGCACAACAACAAACAUUGGAGGAGGAUAAAGAUGGACAAUUUAUGUGAGGAACUACUCACAUUUAAAUUUAACAAUUUUUUUUCUAAAGUGUUUGUUUCUCAAAUUCUAUACUUGAACUGUUCGUUAUCAAUGAGAUAUGUUUUUUGAUUAUACAAUGAAAAAAACUUUGGAUCAAAUGCUCCAAAUUCACAAGAGACUUUAAUAUUAUAUCUCCACUUAAAAAACUUUAAUGUAAUAUAAAUAUGCAUAAAUAUAAAUAUUCUAUAUAAAAUGCACUACCAAAUUAACUUUUCCAGUGGUGUAUAUAACUUAUAAAAUUUGUUAUGAUUAUACUUAUUAAUUAUAUACUACGAAAAGGGUGUUUUAGUAAAAUGUUAUUGGAAAGUGCCCUUUUAAUAUAUAAUUAAUUAAAUAAACUUAAACUUAAAAAUAAAUAUAAUUAAACAUUUAUAUGAAUAUAUAAUUAAUUAAAUAAACUUAAACUUAAACAUAAAUAUAAUUAAACAUAUAUAUAUAAAUAUACAAUUAAUUAAUUAAACUUAAAAAUAAAUAUAAUUAAACAUUUAUAUUAAUAUAUAAUUAAUUAAAUAAACUUAAACACAAAUAAACAAAUAAUUAAAUAUAAAAAUAAAUUAACACAUACCUCUCCUUCCAAUAACCUCCGAGCCACGUGAUGCUCGUACUGUGUCAACAGACAUGUCACUGUCGGUCCUCCGGGAAAUCCGGUCUACUGAUCCUGAUCAUCAAUAUCUGUAGCUUCAUCCGACUCAUCAGCAUCAUCAGCAUGUGCAGAAGUAUCAUGAAUAUCAUCAGCAGCAUGCUCCAUCUGUGGAGGCUGAGGGACAUCCUCUUCCAUAUGUGCAUGCUUGGUGGACUCAACAUCAUCAUCCUGGACCUCCUCUUGUCUUCGACGACGCUGCCUAAUUGGACGAUUUGCUUCGUUGCGUCAUCUGUUUGAUGUUGUUGGUGGAAUUCUCUCUACACCAUCACCUCUAUCACCUAUCAAGUUACGAAUAAUUUGACCAAACGCAUCUCUCAUUCUAGGCACUACAAUAUAUCAAUAUAUCAAUAUUAACAACAAAAGGAAAAAUAUAUAAAAAAACCCAAACAACCAUUUCGAAACUUUCACUGGAAACGAAACUUUCGAAAAGUUUCAAAACUUUUCAUGCAUCUCAAAGUUUCGAAAUGAAGCUUUUCGUAACUUUCAGAAACCUUCGAACGUUUGUGCCUCGAAACUUUCAUAUUCAUGGAAACCUUCGAAACCUUUGUACUUCGAAAGUUUCAAGUUCAAAGAAAGUUUCAAAUGUUUGAAAAUUUCUGAAAAAUACAUGUUUCGAAACAUUCAUAUUCAACGAAAGUUUCGAAAGUUGCCUUACUUUUGUACUUCGGAUGUUUGAAAGGUUCGAAGUUUUGGUAGGGUGGGAGAAUCGAAUUUUUCAGAGUUUCGAAGAAAUUGGUGAAAAAAGGAAAGUGUGUUUUUUUUAGGGUUUUAUAGAUCAAAUAAGGGGCAAUAUAGUUUUUUCUUAUGGUUGGGGGGUGGGUGCACAGUACAAUUCCCAACUUUGGAGUAUGAUGAGAUAAUAAAUAAUAAAGGAACUUUUCCCCAAUACCUCUGUUGAUAUAUUUAUACCUCAUAAUUUUUUUAAUAGGUUAACUUUAUCCUUAAUUUUUUUUUAUUUUACAAAUUAAUUUCUUUUCCCGUCUAAAAAUUAUCGAAACAAUCAAUUCACAUUAUUUUUAUAUACAAAAGUUUUUUCAAAAUUUCUAAAAAGUUUAAUUUUUGUUCUUCGAUAUUGUACAAAACCAAAAAACUUUUUUGAAAGUUUUCUAAUUCAGAUCUUUUUAAAAGAAAAUUAUUUCUAAAGUUUUGAAAAUUUAAAAUUUUAAGUUUUCCGGAAUAAAUUGUGUAUUGAAAAAUUUAUAUUUUUUCUGGUACAGACUCUUCUUUUUCUAAAAAUAAAUUUAUUUUCAAAUUUCUAGAAAAUUUAGAAUUUCGAGUUUUCUAAAAUAAGUUGUGUAACGGAAAAUUUGGAACAAGUUUUUCGAUAGAAACUACUUUUUUUUAAAAAAAACAAAAUUCUUAAAUUUUUGAAAAACUUGGAGGUUUUAAAUAAUUAAAAAGACUUUCGAUACAAAUAAUUAGUCUCUUUAAUAAUCAAAGAUGAAUCUAGAAAUUAAUCAAAUAAAAAGUCAAAAAAAUUAUAUCAUACUAGUUUAUUUUAUAUGCAGUUUUAUACAUUCACUUAAUCACAUAUCACUUUUUACAACAAAAAAAAAAAAAAAUACAAUCGCAUAUCAUUGUUUAGAUUUUUUUAUAUAUAUUUUAAGAAAUAAUAUUAUACCACAUUUAAAUAGUGAGAUAUAAUUAAAUACUUUUGUACAACAAUUUUAUAAUAUAACAUACAAAUUUAAUUUUCUUAAUAAUAUAUAUAAUGAUAAUAUAUGUUAAUUUAAAAUAUUAUACAUAAUAAAAAAUGUUAUAUUUUAUAUAAUAAGAGUUAUAGUCCAACUAAACAUCACAUUUUUAUUUAAAUUUUUAUUUAUAGUUCAUCUCAUAUUAUUUAAUUUUCACUUUAAUAAACAAUACGAGAUUUUAGUUCACACUUCUACACAACUGUUUUAUUUAAUAAGUAACAAAACUAUAUUAAAAAAUAGAGUACAAACAUAAGUUUGGAUAACUUGCAGUUUUAUUCUCUCUUGCUAAUGCAAGCUAAAACACUAUUAGUUGGAUUUAGCGUUGAGGAAGUCAAACAUGCGGUGUGGGAUUGUGACAGCUACAAAAAUCCAGGUUCGGAUGGGGUAUAUUUUGGGUUCGUGAAAGAGUUUUGGGAGAACAUAAAAGGUGACUUUAUGAGAUUUCUAGGUUUUCAUGUGAAUGGGAGGUUGGUAAAAGGAUCAAAUUGAUCGUUUAUAGUUUUAAUUCCCAAAAAAGACAACCCAUAAGUCUUCUUUGAUUUUAGACCCAUUUCAUUAGUGGGAUAUAUGUAUAAAGUUUUGCCAAAAGUGUUGGCGAAUAGACUGAGUCAAGUGAUUGGUUCUGCAAUAGCUGAAUCUCAACCAACGUUUGUUAAAGGAAGACAAAUUUUGAACGGGAUCUUAAUUGCAAAUGAAAUGGUCAAUGAGGCAAAAAAAAAAGAGUUAAUUUUGUUCAAAGUGGACUUCGAGAAGACAUAUGACUCAGUUGAAUGGGAUUACCUAGAACUUGUGAUGGCAAAGAUGGGUUUUCUAGAGAAAUGACGUAAAUGGAUUUUGAAAUGUGUUGGUUCAGCGUCAGUUUCUGUUUUGCUAUGCGGAGGGAAUUGAGACAAGGUGACCUCUUAUUUAUGUUCUUGUUUCUAAUAGCAGCUGAGGGUCUAAAUGCUUUUUUUUGGUGCUUAUGUGGAAACCAAUUGAUUUAAAGGUUUUAAGGUGAGCUCAAAUGAGUUUUGUGUCUUUCUUUUACAAUUUGCAAAUGGUACGUUGAUCAUGGGAGAUAAGUGGUGGGAUAAGUGGUAGGAUUUUAUUGACUAACGUUCAUUUGCAAGUUAAUAUAUCUAAUAAGUAGUCGUGGAACAAUACGAAAGGAGGAUCAUAUUCGGUAAAUGACGCAUAUUCUGUACUACGAGAGGAGUUUGUCGCUAGUGUCAACGCAUCUCUAUUUCAAGAUCUAGUGUGGCAUCCUUUUGUCCAAGCAAAAGCAUCAUUAUUUGUGUUGAAGUUGUUUCAAGAUAGGUUGCCUACAAAGAAAAAUUGGUAUCGUCGAUGAAUCAUUCAUGUAGAAGAUCAACAAUGUGUAGCACGUUGUGGAGAAGUUGAAACAGUCGGUCAUUUGUUCUUUGUGUGUCCUCCUUUUGGAUCCAUGUGGUAUGGUGUUUUGAAUUGAUUUAGACUAUUUGGUGUAUUUUAUAAGGAUGCAAUCAACCACGCUAACUAAUUUGAUGACCUUUUUUUCAUGCGGUCGUGUAACGCGUCAAAUAAUUAAUUUAGUUUGGUUUGCCUGUGAUGUGAGCAAUUUAGAAAUCAAGAAAUGAGGCGAUUUUUCGUUCGCAUGUUUUGAAUGCAAAUCUUAUUAUUGAGCAGACCAGACUUUUAGCAUAGAGGUGAAUCAAAUUGCAUAUAAAAGAAUUUUGUUAUGAGUAUAACCAAUAGUGUUCUCAAUCCUUAGAGUGCAUUGAUAUCACUUGUAGUUAAUUGUUUUAUUUUUUGUUUGAGUGAUUUAGUUUGUAUUUCUGCUUUGUUUUAGUUAUACGGUAGAAACAUUGUAAAAUUUCUUUUACUCUUUCUCUUAGCACAUCUUGUAUUUAAAACUUUUCUUAAAUAUAUUUAUUUUUUGCUUGUUAAAAAAAAAAAUACAAACCAAUCCCUCGAUAAAGUUAUUACAUGAGAUUACACUCUUAACAUAUAUUCACACUCACACUCUUUUCUGCAGCAUUGCAUUCAACGGCGGUUGGUUACAAUAUUUAUUUUAUUUUUCAGCCUGGUUUCUCUGUUGUAUUUUUUUUGGUCUUAACGUUGUUCACUGUUUUAAAAGUGUUUUUCAUAUACAAACUUAGUAAUUGGUUUGGUGCUAUUUUUCUUUAGUGCCAUAACCAUUAAGGAAAAAUGCAAUUUGAUGUUAAGCAUACUACUUUAUCCACAGCACCUAUCAACUUAAGUCUUUUGCAUAUGCAUGGAAUUAAUUUGUGCAUCUGACGCACUUAUAACUUAAUAGCUGUUAGUAUAAAAAUUGGAGAAAGAUUCAUCGUGAAGUCAAUGCAUCUGUUCAACAUUCCGAAUCAUUAUCUUAAAGUGGAAAAUAUGAAGUGUCCACGUGAUGACAUCGCUACAAGCACCCAACUGAUUUUUAUGAAUUUUUUCUUCAUGAAAAGAUCAGCAUUAUGAUUUUUUAUUAAGACAAAAGAAAUACAAUUUUAUCCAAAAAAGAAAAAUAGAGAAAAAGUAGGUGGUAAGGAGUUCUCCAAAUAUAAUAGUUCUAAAUGAAGAAAAUUUUACUACGUAAAACAAAAAGAAAUUUGUAUCCAUUAAAUUAAAUUCAAUUUUCGUAUAUCUUAAAAAAUUAUUUAAGUUUGUCAGAAUAUAAUAAUAUUUCAAAAUAUUUAAACUUUAAAAUUUUUAAAAUAUAUUUGUGUUUUAAAAAAAUUAGUUUUGACUUUAUAUUUCUUAUUUUGUGCUUAUAUAAUAUUUUAUAGUGGAUAUUUUUUUAUUCAAUAUAUUAAAUUUUAAACAUUUUUAACCAAGUAAAAUAUAUAAGGAGUUAUAAAAUGGUUCGGUGAUUUUAGAGAAGAAAAUAGAGAUUGGAGUGAUAAAGAAGUCAUAGGUUCAACACAUUGUUCUUAAAUAAUUUUUUUUUAAUAUAAUUGUUUUGACAUACUAGGAUCAUCUGAAACAUUAAAUAAUGUUUUAAUCUUAAAAAUUAGAACCUAAUAAAAAUAAGGUCUAAUUUGUAUAAUAAAUUUUAGUCCUACCAAAUUUUAAUUUUUUCCUUGUAAAAAAUUCUUAACAUUUUAGUCUAUAUAAUUUUUUAAUUUACUUUUAGUUCCUAUUUUAAUUUUUUUUUGUAAAAAUAAUAAUAAUUUUAGUCUCUAAAAUAAUCUUUAUAAAAUUUAAAUAGAGAUUAGAGUUGAAUAAAAAGAUUAUGAACUAAACUUAAAAGGUCUUUGUAGGAAUUAAAAAUAUAUUUUAAAAAAAAUCACUCUAUUUAAUUAUAUUAUAAAAAAUAAAAAAAUUUAAUACUUUCAUCGGUUGAAGGGCUUUGUUCUUGGACUAUUUGCACAAUCCAAUAGUCAGUCUUGACUUCCACAUACUCAUUUCCUUUAAGUUGAUGUUCAUCCUAAUCGCUAGGUUUGCUCAUCUUUAUAAAGUUUUAACUUUUAAUAAUGUAAAAUACAUCAAAUCCUACAUUUUGGUAGUUUAUUGGGGACAGAUAGACAAAAUCAGGGGCAGACGUUUAAACCCGUUCUCAAAAUAUAUGAGCUGGGCCAUGCUUUGGGCUUACUGUGUGCAGUCCAAUGGUCCAUGGGCUACUAUACCAUCACAUAAUUUUGACUGUUAGCUUUUGUACCCCCAUUUAAACUUGUACCCCUCCAAUUUGUUAAAAAUUCAGUUUUACCUUUAAUAAAUUCAUUCCCGUGAGCGGUAAAAAAAAAUUACUCUAAAAUCUGACUCCCUCGUUGAAAUUUCCGAUAAGUAAUUUUUUGCAACUAAAUUUCCGGUAGUUAUAUUUAUUACCGGAAAUUUGGUCAAUGAAAUUUUCGGUAGUUGUAUUUUCAAUACCGGAAAUUUCAAAUUUCCGGAAGCUACCAGAAAUUUCAAAAAUUUUGAAAAAUCCGGUAGUUAGUUUUUGUUCACCGGAAAUUUCGUUUUUUGAAAUUUCCGGUAGUUCAAAAUGCAUACCGGAAAUUUCAAAUUUCCGGAAGCUACCAGAAAUUUCAAAAAUUUUGAAAAAUCCGGUAGUUAGUUUUUGUUCACCGGAAAUUUCGUUUUUUGAAAUUUCCGGUAGUUCAAAAUGCAUACCGGAAAUUUCAAAUUUCCGGAAGCUACCAGAAAUUUCAAAAAUUUUGAAAAAUCCGGUAGUUAGUUUUUGUUCACCGGAAAUUUCGUUUUUUGAAAUUUCCGGUAGUUAAUCCGGAAAUUUCAAAAAUCCGGUAGUUAUUUUUUUUUUUUUGAAUAUUUUUUUAAUUUGUUUGUUAUUUUAGGGUUUAGGGUUCAGUGUACCGGAAAUUUCAAAAAAUGAAAUUUCUGGGAAGGCAUCCGGAAAUUUCAAAUUUUCGGUAUUGAUUUUAAACUACCGAAUUUUUCAAUUUUCCGAUGAACCUUCCCGGAAAUUUCAUUUUUGAAAUUUCCGGUAUGCAUUUUGAACUACCGGAAAUUUCAAUCCUCUUGAAAUUUCCAGUAAAAACUUUUUUUCAGAAAAACUCACUUUUUCUUAUUUUGACUUUUACUGAUUUUUUUAAGGUUAUUUUGGGUAUUUCACUCAAAAAACAUUAAAUUAGAGGGUACAAGUUUAAAUAGGGGGUACAAAAGCUAACCGUCCAUAAUUUUUUAAACUUACGUGUUUUUCCGCUAAUAGUAGUAUUAUGAGCCCAUGGUUGAUGAGUAUGAAUUUAGCUCAAAAUGAAAGGAUGGCAAUGAUAUUCUGCAAUCUAGUUAGUCAAAAAAAUUUGUCAAUUUUAUUGGACUUCAAGCAAAUAUAGCGGUUCACUCCCUUGUAAAAUGGGUCAUUUGUAUUAUUUUUUGCCAUAGUUUAGUCAUUAUUAUGAUGAAAUGACAUGAGAGUUUAUUCUAGUUAAAAAGAUUUUGACGUGUAACUAAAGUUUGGUUUGGGUCGCCACUCAAUAUUAAUUUCACUACCAAUGCAAAUAUAAAGUUAAAAGAUUGGAUUAUCUACAUGAUAGAAAUAGCAGAUGACGACACUCUGAGUUUAGUUGCUUCCCUUAUUUAUAAUUUGUGUUUUGAGACAGAUCUAUAAAUUUCAAUUAAUGGAACAUCAUGAUCAUCAUAUGUUAUAAACGAUUUGGAGUACAUAAAUGUAUGCAAUCAUGAUCUUGAUUGAACAGACAUAAAUGUCUCUACUACAAGACUGCGUACAAUAAAACAUGUAUGCAAUCAUGAUAUAAAAAUAUUCUAUAAAAAAUAUAUCAGUGCUUAAGUCAUAAUAAAAUAAUCACACUAGUAUCUUAAGCAAAAUAAUAUAGAUUAAACAAAAAAAUCUAUCAUUGUACACCUAAAAUAUUAAAGACAUUUCAACAAUUCCAAAUUAUAAUUGUCUCUAUGUGUUUUAUAUUUAAAAUUUAUUGUACCAUGUUUUAAUACUAUAAAAAAUAUCUCUCUAUGUUUGUGAUCAUACAAUCCUCAAUUUAUAAUUCAUCUUUCAUAGAGUUGCACGUUGGAUUUUCUACUAAUAAAACCAUUAACUAUAUUUUAGUGAGGGCAACUUAUAAUAUUUAGUAGAUAAUCCUAAAUUUGUUCAACAAGGUGGAUCUAUCUUUUGUAAAAAGAGAAUGAAAUGGGAAGGCCCAUAAAAUGGCCCAAUAUGUCAUUCUAACUCCGAUCACGUGUGGGUUUGAAAAUAGAUAAUCCUAAAUUUGUUCAAGGUGGAUCUCUUUUGUAAAAAGAGAAUGAAAUGGGAAGGCCCAUAAAAUGGCCCAAUAUGUCAUUCUAACUCCGAUCACGUGUGGGUUUGAAAAUAGAUAAUCCUAAAUUUGUUCAAGGUGGAUCUCUUUUGUAAAAAGAGAAUGAAAUGGGAAGGCCCAUAAAAUGGCCCAAUAUGUCAUUCUAACUCCGAUCACGUGUGGGUUUGAAAAUAGAUAAUCCUAAAUUUGUUCAAGGUGGAUCUCUUUUGUAAAAAGAGAAUGAAAUGGGAAGGCCCAUUAAAUGGCCCAAUAUGUCAUUCUAACUUCGAUCACGUGUGGUUGAAAACAGCCCAAAUAUAAUUCAUAAAAUUAGGCCCUCACAAUUUGACUUGUACUCCCUCAAUAUGUAAAAAAAACUCCAACUUUAUCCUUUUCAUUUUCAUUCAUUCCAACGUAAAAAAGUCGUUACAAAUUUUGUACCCUCACCAAAAUUUCAGAUACUUUUUGGUUAUCAAAAUUUUCGAUAGUUAAUAAUUCCCUGAAAAAAUAAGUUUUAAAAAUUUGGAUAGUAAAUUUUAUUUUACAUAACUUCUUUUAUUUAUUUAUUUUAUUAUAGAUUUUUGUUAAUUUUUUUAAUGUAGGGAUGGAAUAAACACAAAUUAUAGUAUUUAUGAUAUUUUAUCAUUUGACUAUUUUUAGUACAUCAAAUUAAAUCCUAAUGAGUUUCUAACAUCAAUAAAUCAACUAUUUUAAACAAACUAAGUCUCUAAAAUUACAACACCCUAACAUUAAUAAAUCAACCAUUUUAAACAAACUAAGUUCCUAAAAUCACUAAAUCCCAACACCCUAACAAUUCAAUAUUCUAACAUAAUUUUUUUUUUGGAGCCCUUCAUAAUUGAGGCGUGUACUGAUGUUCUGGUUGCAUACAUUAAAUCUUAGUAAUAAAUAUAUUAAACUAUACGUACUAUGUUAUAAUAUACUAUAUAAUAAGAUUACUUAUUUAAUAACAAGUUCAUUUUCCACUUUAACGGUAAAAAAUAUAAAAAAAAAAACUUAAAAAUGCAAUAAAAAAAUUGAUCCUAAAAAUUUCGAAAAUGAAAUUUCGAUCCAUUAACUAUCUAUGUUUACAAAAAUUUAUCGAUAAAAUCAUUGUGUCAUUUUAUAUAUUCUCAUUCUUUUUACAAUUGAUUAUCAUUCACAUUCUUAGUGGUAGAAAGUAGUAGAAGCUAUAAAUAAGGAAAAACCGACAUUGAAGGAAAAAGAAAAGAGGCAUACAAAAACUUUUUCACAUGGGUUCUUAGUGGCCAAACUUUUUCGUGGUCCUUGAAGCAUAUCUAUAUGGCACCCUUUCUCAACUAUUUGCAACUCGGAAUUAAAGGUCAUUCCUUCAGCAGCAAAGUUGGAUUAACAUAUUUUGAAUUUGAUCAACUUGUCAAUUCAAAUAUUCUAUACUACGAUUUGGAGGAAGCUAGAGACACAAAGUUGGAUAUAUAAGAAGGUUGUUGGUUCAACUUAUCUACUAAUAACAAAAAUAACAACUAAAAAUUAACAUUAAAUAAAACUUCUACACUCCGAGUAAUUUCUUGUAUUCAAUUUUAAUAAUAUUUCAAAAAUUCUUUUGAUAAGGAAAAAUUAAAUUAUAAGAAAAGCUACACGCCGAGGAGAAUGGAAAUUUGGACUUAAUGAAUUGACCUUAACAAUAGUCGAGCUAAUUAUAUGUGUUUGAGUGUUAGAAUAUUGUUUGUCUCAUCUUAUUUUUAUUUUGCAUACAGCUUCAUGGAUGUUGAUUGAUAGAGAUGGAAGAUGAGUGGGGAUCAAUUUUUGAUUUAUCACAUAACAAUACCAAGGAAAAUAAAAAUAAAAUAAAAUCAGACUGAAGUUGUUGCCUUGAUGGUCUAAGCAGUGACCUCACUUAAAUUAAGACGUGGGACAAAAAAACAUUAAUUCAAAAAUAUGUGUAUCACCGGGAAGACCAAAUUAAGUUGAUUAUGCCUAGUUCAAGUAGUACUACUAGAACUUAAGAAAUUGUCAUGUGAAUAAAUAUAGCAAACAAAAGUUUAAGAAAAUCCCAAUUCACAUACAUAUAUUAUUCUCAGCUGCCGAUUAUUUCUAUUCAUGACUUUGCCAUUAGUUUAAUGGUUUUUUUUGGGUGCCUUUUUCCAAAAGUUUUGCAACUUUGUAAAAAAUAAAAUAGUGUAAAAAAUAGGCGUGUCUAAAUUUGUUAUUAAAUAUUAAAUAAAUAGUUAACUAAAAGAAUGUUGGAGAGGUAUAGUUCCCCUCAACUUCUCUCAUCUGGAUUAUUUGUAGUUAGAAUUUUUUUUAUUUUUUAAAUCGAGAUAUCGACAAGACAGUUGAUUGAAAUUAAAUAAUUCAUAUUUAAAUUUUAAAAUUUUAAGUUAUAAAACUAAAAUUUAUAUUUCUUUAAAUUGUAUGAUCUCAAAUGAAUAGUUUAUUAGACCUUAUUUAUGGGGAUUCAAGAUUUAGUGAAUGCACUACAUGUUUGUCAAAGCCAUAUUCACAACUCACUAGUUAUUGAAUUCACAAUUAGAUUGAUUAAAAACUUCAAGAGUAAAUGAAUCUACUUAUGUACCAAAGUUUGAUUUCAAGAAGAAUAAAAAUCACAUAAAAGAGUAUCUACAAUUGAGCUCCUCUCAUUGAAGUAGUUCAUAUUCUUGCAGGGGUACCAUAUCAUUAGCUUUGAUUGAUACCUUAGAUUCAAAGCAAAGGGUGGACCAUGUUGUACAACUUUAAUGUCAAUGAAUCAAUCAGGUUAAUAUGUUGAAAAUGGCGAAUGAUGGAAUUAAUGAAUGAAUGUAGGGCUGAGCUAAAGGUCACAAGUUGCUAUAUUGGUUCACAAAUAAUCCAAGAUUAGAACUUUCUUGAACUGUAAUGGAGUUUAAACUGUAUAUAUCUAGCUCGAAACUACUAGUUUUACUAUAUGUAUUGUUAUGGAUGUUUACUAAUUAGAAGCAAUAGUUUUAAUUACUUCUGAGUACAAUUUUUUAUGAGCACGAUCAUGUAAGAUGAAUAUAAAAUUAGUAAAUACCAUGCAAUUGAUUUUAAUUGGACGGUCUAUGAUUUGCAACUCCCAUAUAGAUAUAAAAAACCAUUAUAAUUAUAUUAUAUUUUUUUAGAUACGAGUUAAAUUAAUAGUAUAGAAAUGAAAGAAAAUUCUGAAAUAUCAAAAACUAAAAUUUUAUAAAAGAAAUGAUUGAACUCUACUUUUAUGAAAUUUAUUAUGGUAGUUAAAGUGCAUUAAGACAAUAUAAUAUAAUGUUUGUUUAUGAGUAGCAGCGUAGCAGGGGGUUAAAUCUAAUCUUGGAUCACGCGCCUGACGACUGUGUAUUGAUGACACAAAAGAUUGAAUGAUGAAGCAGCCUCAACCUCAACCUCUCUAUCUAUCACUGCCAUUGUCCUUUUCUAGGACUGCACCAUUGUUCUGUACUUUUGUCUCUAACAGGCAUGCAUGCAUUGCACACCACCACCAUCUCACACCAUGCCCAACCAAUCUCCACCUUUCCUAUUUUUAUGUCGAGUACCUUUCACAUGCCUAAUCAAAUAUUAGCCUACUUCUUAAACAUACAUAUCACUCACAUAAAGGACCAUUUUUCUUACAAAUAUCUUCAUUAACUCAUUGUUGUAACUAAAAAAUUACCAUCAAAUAUUAAUAAAUUAAAAUUAUUUACUUUCAAACUCAUUUUAAUAAUAAUAUUUGUCAUACACUUUAAUGUAAAUAAUAAGUUUUUGGCAUUCAAAUAGACAAUUUAAAUUUUUUUGAUUAUAUUUUAUAAAAAUUAAUUGUAUUUUAUUAAUUUUCUUAAUAGUAUGUGUUAAGAAGUUAAAUGUAGAAAUAAAAUCUUGCAAAUUGUGAAUUUAUUAUUUUGAAAUUGUAAAAAUUGACUAUUUUUCAAGUGAAUAAUUAUUUUUUAAUUUUACUUAUUUCCUUAAAAAUACUCUUAGAAGACUUUUUAGCAUGACCUUAAAACAAUUAGUAUCAAGUGAAUUUAUGUAUGGAUGUAGUUAACUUGAUUAAUUAGGUUGAUUCACAGUAAAUUUUGGAUAAUACAUUCUUAUAUCAAACGUAAAACUACUUAGAAAUGAGUAGCUAAUACUAAGUGGAUGAUGUGGUUGUUCAUAUUUAGAGGUGGCGGAUUUAUAUAGGAUAUUGAAUUGGUGAGAAGAAUUUAUUGAAAAAUUAAUGUUUUAUACAGACAAAUAACAAAUAAUAUACAUAUGAAUUAAAUAUUUGAGCAUGCGUGAGUGUGGUGAAUUGGUUGCUUGAAAGAGAGAAUAGAAGAGUUGAUUAGGCAUCUGAGUCUAGCAAAACAAGACACUAUUGAAUUCAAUUGCAAGCAUGUUAGAAUCGCAGUCUAUGGCCGUGCUAUUGCUAUUGUCCAAAUCACUACCAUAAAAAUGCCUUCGUUUCUUAUAUAUAUUAAACAAAUACAGAAUUUUUGAAUAAUCUCUUAGAUAGUAUUUGCGCUAUGUUAUAUCUUAUAAAAAAUUUGGUGAAUCUUAGAUAAUCCUUAUCAAUUUAGUGAACUUUAGACAACAUUUAUCAGAAUAACUUUAUCUUAAGUCUUAUAAAAAAUUGGUGAAUCUAUUGUCUAAAUUCUUAUAAUUUUUAUUUUUUAAAUUUUAGACAACACUUUUUUGAAUAAAAUAAUGUCUAAAGUCUUAUAAAAAAAAUUGGUGUAUCUUAAACGUUGUUUUUCUCAAAAAGCAUUUAGAAAAGCGCUAAUUUAGAUCUUAAAAAAAAAAUAUUUAGCAACCUUAGACAAUGCUUUUAUGAAAAAAAUGUUGUCUAAAAUCUUACUGAAAAAAUUGGUGUAUCUUAUAUAACACUUUUUUUAAAAGCACUGUUGUUUAUAUAUAAAAAAAAAAAUUAAAAAAUGAGAUACAGUGAAACCGCGGCCAGUAAACCCCUUCUUAUUCUAGUCAAAACAUUUCAUCUUCCUCGCUCAUUUAGUCCAAAAACAGAUUAUCGGCCCUUAUUGAAAUGCAUAAAUAAGAAACAAGAGAAAUCAGAAACACGAGAAAUACCAUAAACUCGAUAACGCAAACCACCAUCAAAAAUGCAAAAAAUGCAAACUAUCACUUGAAACGCAAAGCACUGGCCCUUAGACACUAAACCUCCCCUCCAAAGUUUGCAACUCUCUAAAAAAAUUAUCAGAAAAAUAUAUUUGGAUUGUUGUUUGUCAACUCUACUUUAAUUUUUGUUUUUAUGAUGCCGCUAGUCAUUACAUUACUCCAUAGGUGGUUGUUUGUCAUUGAAUUGUUGUUUCUCAUAGAGAGAACUGUAAGAAUGAAAUAAUGAAUAUACGUUUUAUUGUUGUUUUUCAUUGGAUUGUUGUUGAUUGAUGUUUGUCAAACAUCAAGAACUAGGUGCUUCUAUUAUCGCCAUAUCUACAAGGUAUUCCAAAUAACAAUAGUGAAUGAAUUAUUAUUUUUUUUUUUUACAAAUGAAUCAGUGAUCAUAAUUUAUAUUUUCAUUUAAGGUACUUGUGUGAAAAAUGGUGUGCUCACGUCAAUUGAUCAAAAUAUUCUUCUUCAUAUCUCCCCGUCAGAUAUCCCUAUUUGAAAUUGAUCUUACUCGGAUCAAAUAUUAUGUAAUUGAUAUACUGAUGGACAAUAAAGAUCAUUCGAGCAAAUUGUUUAUUAUACCAUAUAAUUAUAAAUUAGAUUUUUUUUUUAAAUUUAAUUUAUGGUAUAUUAUUUAUCUUUUUGUAUUUGAUUUGCUUAUUGAAUUUAUUUUAGGAGGCACUGGGUGGUUAUUGUCAUUAAUGUCACAUUAGCAAUAAUUUACUAUUUAGAUUCAAUACAUGGUGAUUAUACAAAUCAAUCGAGAUUGAAGUUUAUGUUCUAUACAUAUGUUUAUAAUUGUAUCAAAAUAUGUAUAAAUAUAUGUAGUUGUUUGUGUGUGAUUAUUUUAAAUAUAUACAUUUAUAUAUAUUUGUUAGAGCUAUCAUAAUAUUUUGCGCUCAAAAGGGAGCUGAAUUUUCGACGAAUAAAUCAAACACGUUUGUGUGGAUACUAAUACAUGUUUUACAUAGAUAUGUAUUAUAUUUGAUGUUUGAUUAUAAAUAUUGUAACACAAAUUUUGACUUAUAAAAUUAACAUGAAAAAAUACAGAUGUUGUCUUAUAAAUCACUGCAUUAAUGCAUUUUUAUUUUUAUUUUUCUAGUGUAUUCAUAAAAAAAAAAAAAAAGAUUGUGGGUACUAUAUUAUGAGGUUCUAAAUACAAUAUGUUAAUUAUAUUUUAUAUAGUUUAUAUUAUUUUAAUAUUUUCAUCAAAUUAAUUUUAAAUUAGUUGCAUUAUAUAUUUAAUUUACAGUACUUUGAAGAAUUCAAAUGUUUGGAUUACUAUGAAUAUAAAUUAACUGAAAUUAAAGAAAAUUAAUGUCAAUAUGUGCUUGAAUUAAGUAUCAUAUGACCAAUUAAUAGUUCGUGUUGUAUUAGUUGUUUUAUUUUUUACUAUAAUAUUGAUUGUUAAUUUUAUGUUUGAGUGUAUAUAUUGAUCACUUAAUUAAUGUAAUUAGCCGUCUGUGUAACAAGAUUGCAUAUAAGUUAGCUUAAGCAAUUAAAACUAUACAUUUUCAAACAUAAUGUGAGGAAUAUUGUUCCGAAUCUUAUUAAUUUGUGAGCUCUAAUUAAACCUCUUAAUUUUUCAUAUUUAUUUUACUCAAUUUGUGUGUGAGGGAUACUUUCCUAAUAUAUGUUCAUAUUUAACUAGUAUAAUUAGAAAUUCACAAUCAAUCAUAUAUACUAUCUAUGAAGGAUAAAACCUAAAAAAAAAAAACGUUCUUAACCCUCUAUUCUUAAAAAUAAUGAUCUAACAACCCACAUAGAUCUAUGUAUAUAGCUAUAUAUUCACAAACCUCUCUCAAUUUCAUGAGUAGAUAACAUACAUCUUUUCUUAAUAGUAUUGGCAAUAGAUCUAUCAUCCUUGUUUUUUAUGGAAAUUAAUUUUGAGAAAUAAAUCUAAAUUGUGGGGUUCCUACAAUAUUAGGGCUCUGCCAAAAGUCAAAACCAUGAAUUUUACGUAGUGGGAUACUUCAAUUUGGGUCAACAAAUUUGAGUAACGUGAAAGUGAAGAUAACUCAUGAGGUGUGUGUACUAACUACUAACCGACCAAAAACGAUAUGGAAAUUAUGAUGAAUAGAGAUGGGACCAAAACAUUUCAAAUGUGAAGCAUCACACUAUCAAGGUCCCGAUAUAUUUGGCUUUCUAAAAGAUAAACAAGGAUUCGUUAAGGCUUCCUGUUUCCGACCAAAAUUAUAUCUUUUUGUUACACAAUAAGUCAUUUCAUUAUAAAAUAAAAUAUUUUUAAUUUACUAUAAUACAAUAUUAAUUAUUUCUUUAAUUUUAUCUUCUACUUAAUUUACUACAUACACAAUUUUCAAUUCGAUAAUUUUCAGUUAACAUUUAUAGUAACGGUGAAUGCACCAAUAUUUUAAUAAAAAUAUUAUUAUCUCUCUUUUAAUUAUUUUUUUUAUUUAAUUUGUGUGAAAUCGCUCAAUGAGUCAUCCAUCCCGAGACAUUUAGAUUAUAACAUAUACUCUAUUAAACAAGAAAGAGGAAGAGCUAUCUUGACUUAUGAUUAUUAUUAACAAAUGUUAAAACUUCGAAAGUAAGCGGCUAAAUCUAAAUAGUUAAAGAAUUUCUGUUUAGGAUGAAUCGUUAUAAAGACGUAUGAUGUUUUUGAAAGUUGUGAAUAAUUAAAAUAAAAAUAAUUAAAACAUGACGAUUUAUAAAUGAUCACUCUAUUAAAAAAUGUGUCAAUUUUAGAUGAAAAAAGAAUAAAAAAUAUAUUAUAAAAAAGUAAUUUUGUUAUUCAAUAAUUUAAAAAUUACUUUUUAAAGACUUUUAAGGAAGUAUAAGUUGUUUUAUGUUUGACUGUCGUAAUAAAAUGACUUUUUAUCUUAAGAAAACAGUUAUAAUUUUUUUAAAGCAACUAAUAAUGGUCUUUAAAUUUUUUCAUAUUAUUAAAGCUUUAAAAGUUAUAACAACGAGCAGAUAAAAUGUUUCAAAAAUAAUUAUAUAUGUUUUCAAAAACUGUUUCUUUUUCGAAAAAAAAAAUGUAACAACGUACUAUAUAUAAAAUACUUUUAUUGUAUUAAACACGUUUGUAAUGUUAAGAUUUUUCCCCUACCUCAUAAAUUAAUGAUUUUUUCUAGGUUAUUCUUUAAAAUAUUGUGGUUAAAUUAUCCAUCAUGAAGAGACACACCAAUUAAAAUGGGACAAAUCCUUCAAUGGGAUCAAACCGGUGUCAUUGAAAUUAAAUAUGCAACACUUAACCACUGCAACAUGCACGUGGUUGUUUACAUAUCACAUUAAUUAAAAAUAUCAUAUAAUAAAAAAUUGUAUAAUAUUUGUAACUUUUUAUUAUAUAUAUUUAUUUAAUUUUUAUAAAGUUGUUUUUUCAUCAACAACUUUAGUCAUAUGUUAACUCAACUUAUAUGGUAUAAAAUGGAAUUAAUAUGAAAGCAUCACGUGGCAUAAGAAAACCUUGACACACACACACACACACACACACACAUAUAUAUAUAUAUAUAUAUAUAUAUAUAUAUAUAUAUAUAUAUAUAUAAUAUNNNNNNNNNNNNNNNNNNNNNNNNNNNNNNNNNNNNNNNNNNNNNNNNNNNNNNNNNNNNNNNNNNNNNNNNNNNNNNNNNNNNNNNNNNNNNNNNNNNNNNNNNNNNNNNNNNNNNNNNNNNNNNNNNNNNNNNNNNNNNNNNNNNNNNNNNNNNNNNNNNNNNNNNNNNNNNNNNNNNNNNNNNNNNNNNNNNNNNNNNNNNNNNNNNNNNNNNNNNNNNNNNNNNNNNNNNNNNNNNNNNNNNNNNNNNNNNNNNNNNNNNNNNNNNNNNNNNNNNNNNNNNNNNNNNNNNNNNNNNNNNNNNNNNNNNNNNNNNNNNNNNNNNNNUGUUUUCUUUAAAUAACAAUUUAUGUGUUGCAGUGGCUAAGUAUGCCUUCCUUAAUUUCAUGGGAUAUUUUGAUUAGAAUUUUUUAUCAUUAAUGGUAAUGGGAUUAAUGGAAAAAUAACAUAAAGUAUUUAUAAAAUUAGUCUUUAAAUAAUAUUUAUAAAUAUAAAAGAAAAAAAAAAUCACAUUAGAUGGCACGUAAAUUAAAUAGUCAUAUUGGCAAUAUUGGUAAAAGAUUUGGGCGGCAGGUGAGUAUCUAUAUAGUUUAAAGCAUAUAAUAGUGAAAUUUCCAGAAAUAGUUGAUGAUAUAUAUAUAGCUGAAAAGGAGUUGUGGGCAUAUCCACUACGUAUUUAAGUCAUCUCAUAAACCCUGCGUAUGCAACCCUUUUAUUUCUGAUGUCUAAUCUCUAAUUACCUUUACCCAACUUGGCGUAAUGAGGAAUGAAAGUGUCACACAAGUUGUUUCUUUAUAUAGAGAAAUAUCAUUGCCAAAUUCAUUUUGUUUGCUUUAAGGCGCAUGCACGUGUACUAAGCAUAUGCUUAGUUUCCUUUGGAAUAUAUCCAACAUUCUUCGGCUAAUAAUUGGAGUAUUCUUAUAUUCUUUUAUAAAUGUAUUUGCUUGGUAUCAAAAACCUCAUAGUAUCAAAGAGUAAUUAUAUUUAUAUUGUAAACCAUGUUGAACCGGAUUAUGCAAUAUAUUUUUGUAACACUUACACAAUUAGUAUUCUUCUGUCAAAUUUUUAAUUUAAUGUAUGUUCUAAAAUUCGUUAUAAUCCAACCAUAUUUUGUUUGUAUUGUGACUUUUUUCUAUGUGUGUUUUAUAUAUUUUAAAUCAUUCUAAUAGUCUUAUUUUCAUUUCAAAAAAUAUGAAGAAGCUAGGUUCAUAUUUCAUACUAGUAAUUACAUAUAGGCACAACUUGUAAUAGAUGAAUACGGUACCCCUAACCCAUGGCUCCUUUUCUUUUCACCCACAACUUUACCCACUUUCAUUUCUAAAAAUAAAAAUGGAAUAUUUUGAUAGGUAGUCGAUUUGUAGGGUAUUGGUACUAUAUUGUGGUGGACUAUAAUGUGAAACUAUAUAUUGAUUGAAAUGUAGAGGAGAACGAGACGAUGAAGAAUGUAUAGUUUGUUGAAGGAGGAUUUCUCCGACUAUUUCGCAAAUGGAGAUAAACUGGAAAAAAAAAAAAAAAAGAGGAAAAUGAAGAAAAAAAAUAGUGUAAAAGAAAUACCGUAGAAUUUAAUGAGACUUCAAAGUUCAAUGGUACAACCUCCAAAUUCAAUUAUAAGCAAAAUUAAUCAAUUGCUCAUAUAUUAAUAUCAAUUAAGAAUAAUGGUUAAUUUCAUUUAAUUUUUUGAUGCACUCAAAAUUAAUCACAUCUCCUAAACUUCUCAUACUUUUCAUAUAUCAUUUUGUAUUGAAACUUCUUACAUUUCAUAUAUCAUUUUCAUAACCGCUCGAAUCUGCUAUGAUUUUCACAGAAAAAAUUCACUUUAAUCGAGUAUAGAUUUUUUUCAAAAUUAAAACUUAGAGACGUGCAUUGCUAAAUUUUAUGUCUCAUAAGUAACUAGGCUAAUGCAGAUUUUUCUCAAUUAAUGCAAGAGUUAGGGGAAGACAAAAUUCAACCCGCCUCCAUUCCGUUGCCAAUUUAAAACUUGUUACAUUAAAAGAUAGUUUGAUAAUAAUAAAGUUAAAUAAAAUAAAUUAGUUAAAUUUCGUUUAUAUUCAAUCUACUAAUUUUUUUAUUUUUUUAUAAUAAAGUUUAGAAGAAAAACAUAUAAGUUGAUAGAGUACCAAUACUCUACAAUCAAUUAGGUACUUCAAAAUUUACCUUAACCACAUAUAAUUAGAAGAAAGAAAAAUAUCACUAGAUGAGAAAAAACAGUAUUUUUGUCUAAAAUUAUACAUUUUUUCUUUGGAUAAAAUAUUUAUUGUUUGGAUAUAGUACCUCCAAAAUGGAAUUGAGGUUGAAAAAAUCGAGUCAUUUGCAUAAUUCAAACCCAUGGCUCAAUUUGGGGAUUUGAGAAUGACACCUUAAUCAAAUCUAUAUAAUCAUAAAUUUUUACGAAAACACGUGUCUAGUUUAUUAUUGGCUAAGAAAAGUUACUAAAUGCUAUUAUAAUCUACUAAGCACCUUUAAGAUAAUCUACUUUAUGAUAAAAGUUCUCGUUUACCCCACAAGUAAAAAAAGAUAUAAUAGUUUAUUGAACACGAUAUGCAAGUAGCCCGAAUCACCAUGCUAAGGUUUUGCAUUAAAAUGAAUCUAAAAAAGAAGGGUAAUGCAUUAAAUUGCUUUGGUGAUGAUUAAUUAAAAUCUACCCAAACCACAUGGUCGUUAAUGCAUGCUGCACCCCCUUAUUAUAGAUGAACAAAAUCUAAUUUCUUUUCAGUGUUUCAGAAGAAGCAUGAUGUGAUUUUUUAUUUAAUUAAAUUAGUUGGUAGAAAAGUGUAAGAAUGCAAUGAGAAUGCACAGUGGAUGUUGUUCCUUAUAGCGAAAUCACACAUUUCUUAAUAGUGAAAAGUGAAAAACCACAAAAAGUACAGAUAAGAAAGAAACCAAAAAAGCUGUUAGAUGUCAUUAUCAUAGGCUUCAAAAGUUAUGGGUACAAGAGAUGCCAAUUGAGAGUUACCUCUCUACCAUCCACCACCUUAAUCAUACCUCAUCACUACCGACUAGGGUUGUUAUGUACUAUCAAACCUCUUCAAUCACUUAGGAUACUUCAUACCACAUGGAUAUAUGUCAAAACACAAUUGCAUACUCUUUUACUUUUUCUUUUUAGACAACAUUAAUUUUAUUUUUUAAAACAUACAAUUAUUUUUUAUUUUUUUUAUUUGAUUAACUUUUAUAUAAAUUUAUUCAAAUACAAAAUAUUAUCUACAAAACUAAUUUUAAUUCAAAAUUCAUUUUUAGUUAUGAUAGAAUUAAAUACACAUACUUUUUUAAUUUUAUAAUAUAAGUAAAAAUAAGUUAAAAAUUUAAUAUAUUUAAUCUUAAUUUUAUAAUUAAUACAUCAACUUUUUAAUUAUUGUUUAUAUUUUAUGAUGGAGAGUAUCUUGUUAACCAACAAAGUUUUUGUUGUUACUAAUCACAAAUUGAAGAGUAUAUAUUAGAUAGAAGAAAGUUGAGGGAGUUAGUUGUUAAACUCAAAAAGAUAUGACCCUCUCAUAUAGAGUUUGAAGACAAGUUGUUCUAAUCUUACAUUUUCAUUUGUGGGGCUAAAAAAAGACCAAAAGAUCUUUAAUCUCUUCUCUCUCACCACACUCUGCCACUCUUUGCAGAACCAUUUACAAGGCUCUCAUAGCCCAAAAAGGUACCAUUUUUCUUCUUCUUCUUCUUCUUACUAAAUUUUUUCUUUGCAGAACCUUCUGAACUCAUGUGACAUAGAUCACUGAGUUCAAUGUCCUAUUAUAGUUUCUGUUUUUACCCCUCCCAUUAUACUCAAUGUUCAAGUUGAAACUUUUAAAAAAAUUCUGCAUAUUCUUCAGAAAUUUUUGAGAUUUUUACAUAAUAAAGAACACCAACAAUCUACUACUAAUUUAUUCUUAUGUCCUUUUACUAUCUUAUAGCACAUGAGUUGGUUGCAUAUUCCAUAAAAAAAAAAAAAGCAUUAUGUAAUUCACUUUUUUGUAUCUAUAUUUAUAUUCAUUCACAUGAUAUGAUUUUUUGAGUGCUAUUGGUAUUGCAAGUAGUUUUAUUGAAUAAGGAAUAUUGAAAGAUUGCUAUUACAAUUUGAGAAUAAAUGAGUUGUUUUACACUCAGAACUAAUAAUAACUGGUCAAGACAACAAGUAAUUAGAUAAGUGUCUUUGAUUUAAAAAUUGUUAAAUAUGACGUGACAGAUUGAAUAGUACUGAGUGGAAAGUUGUUUUGCGUUGUGAGUGCAAUACCUUACACGUUUUGGUUUUGGGAUCAACAGAAGUGACAUAAUUCUGAUUAGAUGCAGAUGAAUUAUCCACAUGAAGAAAAGGUUUAAGAAAUUCAACACCAAUUAGAAAAGAAAGAUUAAGAGAUAAAAGAAGGCCACACAAAAAGGAAGGAAAAAAAAGAAUCAAGCUCUUAGUGGUUGUCAUUAUCACCAACUACACAAACAAGUGCACAAAAAUCAAAAUACAAAGAACAAAUUUUGAAGCAUACAUUAAUUCAAGUGGCAUAAAAUUUCACACAUAUAAAAAAUGCAUAUGCAAGAAGUAGAAACAGAAACAGAAUAGAAGCACUUUUUCAAUUUAAAAGGCAAAAAAUACAUAAGACUAAUGGGAAUGAAGAGCACUGGGGGAGAAAUAGUUCAAGUUCAAGGAGGCCACAUUGUUAGAUCAACAGGUAGAAAAGAUAGACACAGUAAAGUCUACACCGCGAAAGGACCUCGCGAUCGACGAGUUAGAUUAUCAGCACAUACAGCAAUUCAAUUCUACGAUGUUCAAGAUCGUCUCGGCUACGACAGACCGAGUAAAGCUGUUGAUUGGCUGAUCAAAAAAGCUAAAUCAGCUAUUGACAAACUUGCUGAGCUUCCACCAUGGAAUCCAAUUCCUAAUAAUGUCACAGAAGAGUUACAACAGGAAGAAAAUAAUGCAGGAACAAGGGAUAUGGUUAUUGCAGCAGAAAAUUCAGAAUCUUCUGGUUACAAUUUUCAGCUACAAGACACAGAAAAUCACCAUAACCAUUCAGCUUUCAUUCCUUCAAAUAUUGAUACUGAUGCAAUAGCUUUUUUUCCAACAAGUUCUGCUGCAUCAUCCAUAAACUUUCAAAGCUACCCUUCUGAUAUAAUCUCAAGAACAAACAACUCUAUACAGGAUCUUGGUCUUUCUCUUCAUUCAUUCCAAGACCAUGGAAUGAUGCAUGGACAAUCUCAAGAAGGUGGUAAUCAUCAAACAGGUUCAAAUGACCAUCAUCAAACACUUUUCACUGAUUCAAAUCCUGUUGGAUUUGAGGCUAAUUAUCAUAGGAUUGUGAAUUGGAACAAUGAUGAUCACAGAACUGGAUUCAUGGUUAAUUCAGCUCCAUUUCUUAGCCAAGGUUCUGCAUUUUCCCAUAGGGGGACCCUUCAGUCCAGUUUUUCGCAAUCGCUUCGUCCUUGGAAUGAUAUUCCGAUGGAAACUUCGUCAGUGAAUCAUAAUCAGAAGUCUCAACAGAUUCAACAAGCUUCAAUCUUUGGUAGCAGAUUUCUGUCUGAUGCUUUGCCUGGUUUUUGCAUUCCAGCUAGAAUUCAAGGUGAGGAUGAGAGCCAUGUUGUUGUUUCGGAUAGGCCAUCAUCUUCUUCUAAUUCUCAUCAUUAACCAUAAACAAAUAUCAACUCAAAUCUUCCUUUUUCUAUCAGGUAUUCCACUAACUACUUUCUCUUUCAAAACAAGUUUGAAGAAUGGCCAAAACUGCCAGUUGUAGUUUAAAUUGAAUUUAUUUAUGAAACAGUUUCAGUUUAUUUUAAAUAGUUUAUAGCUAAGUAUUUAUAUAAUAAACAACUAUGCUAUAAAUUUAAUUAAAUAAUUUAUUCAAUCAGGACCAUAAAAUUUAAUUAAACAUCUAAGCUAUUUCACAUGCAGAGAUUAGAUUAAGUUAAGAGAGUUUGUAUACAUACUGAUAACUCCUUUUUACAUUUCUCCCUUUAAUCUUGUUAUGCAGGGCAGGGGCAAUAUUGUCUACCAGAUAUGAAAACAUGAGAAGAUUAAGAUGGACACAUAUUGAUGAUAAACAAAACUUGUCUUGUUAGAUUCAACUUUUCUGUGGCUUUAUUUAUUUUCUCUCCUUAUUGUAGCCAUUAACAUUGGUGCUUUUUAAAUUUUCAAACAAUUGAAAGUGGGUUUCACUAGUUAAAUCAAUGCUGCUAGAUGUAUUUAAUUACUACUAUGUAUUGUUUCAUGAUAGUUUGCUCAAUUAAUAUAUAGCAUUGAUGUUGAUUUUGUUUUGAUCCUUAUUGUGUGGUUAAAAGAAGAAUAAAGCAUUGUUCAUUUUUCCAAUAUAAAGAAAAUGACUAAUCCGAGACUUAUGGUUUAAAACUUAGUGUCGUAGAACAUUGAUUAUAUAUUGCAUGUCGAUUUGAACAAUAUCAGAAAUUUAAUGGGGGGUGAAUGUGUAGUAAUAAUAAGAGUAUAGGACGGCUAAUAAUAAACAAUUUGCUGGUCCAUUAGUUUGAAUUUCGUACUGGACUACGUUAGCAUGUGGAAAAUUGAAUUGGAAAAUUGAUUUUGCUAUUCUAUUCUAUGUUCUAGUAGAGUCUCAUUACCGAUAUUUUAUGUUCUAUUCAUUAAUGAAAUUCAAUUUUACGAUUUGUUUAAGAUAAUUCGAGUUUUAAUCUUUAUUGAAAUAAUUUUUUAUUAAGUUUUAUUUACUCAUUUAUGAAAAAACUAAAUAAAAUCCAGUCUAAUACUUCAUAAUUAAACUUGUCCUUCAAAUUACCACUUAUACUCCCUUUUCCUUAGGUGUUAGAAUUUGAAUGAACAUUUAAUAUCAAAAUCGAUCAUCUUAGAUUUAAUUUAAAUAAUUGUAUUUUAUUAUUAUUUAUUGGAUUUCACACUAUAUUAGUAGUUAUAUUAUUUUUUACUUUAACCAAAUUAUUUUCAGAAAAUGUGAUUCUAAUAAAUUCAGAAUUUACACUAUAACAAUAAUAUUAUCUUAAAAAAUAGAAAGUAUUUUCAUACUUUGUAGUAUUAUUUUUUUUAUUGUAGUUUAUAUACUUGUUUUAAUAAUAUAAAAAAUCUAAUAUUUAAAAAAAGUUAUUUUUUAAGGAAUUUUAAAAAAUACCAAUACGAUUGAAUCGAACUAAACUAGUUCGUCCUUGAUCACUUUAAUUUUAUUUUAAUUUUUAUAAAAAAAUAGCAAAAAUAGAACAAAAUCAACUAUUUUUAUUAAUUUGAAUUUGUUUUCUCUUGAAAGCCGAAACAAUAAACAAAUCAAUAAUAAUUGAUAUUACAUAUUCACAUCACAAUAAAUGAUGGAGUACGAAUUUUAUUGAAAUAUCUACUCUUAGAUAAAUGUAGGAAAAAUUACACUUACCUUUCCUCAUACUUAAUCAAAUGAUACAGAUACAGCCUCUAGUUUUCACUUCACACUAACCUCCCGUGUGACUAACACCAACAACCAACCAUUACAUAAAAAAAAUAACUCCGUGUUCUUGUUUAUACAUUGUUUUCCCCUAUAAUCUAAAACACUCAUCACUUUCUCUUAUCAUUCUCUUCAUCUUCGAGCAUUAAAAUAUGGAACGGCUCUGAAAUUUUGGACAUCGUUGUUUCCAUUAUCUUCCUCUAUGUUUUGAAAUGUUACUGGAACACAUAAUUUAAUAUAAAAAAGGACAUAAAUACAAUUCUGUAUAAUAUUUAUAGGAUUUUCUCAAUUUCCCUUUGGGCUUAAUUCAAUUUCCUUGUUUGUUUGCUGUUUUUGGGCUCUGGCCUUUAUUCUGCUUGUUGUAAUUGGGUCUGACCCAUUAUCUAAUUAAGACUAAAACCUUUUUUAUUAACAUAAAUUUUUCAUAUCUUACUUUUUGUUACAAGUCAUACGUUAAUGUUAUUUAAUCUAAAAUGUAAAUAUUAUUAUGAUUAGGAUAAUAAUGUUAGUAAUAUACUCUACGUACAUUCAUAGCAUUUUUAAUAUAUCUAUUGUAUUCACAAAAGUUAAUAAAUUAAAUUGUAGUUUUUGUUUCUCUAUUUUUAUCAAUUUAUGGAAUUGAUUUUCGUAUUUUAAAAUUCGAUAAUUUUGAUCAGUUAUUCAUAUUUUUGAACUUAAACAAAUGAUGAUGCAACAUAUUAUAAAUAACAUGUCAUACAAUCUCAUAAUUAAGAAUCAUCUAGAUAAUUAAUUAUUACACGUCUUUGAUUAAAUUAAAAAAUAAAUAAUUUUUGAAGUUGAAACUAAAGAUUUUAAAUUAAUUAUAUUUAUAUCUAUUAUAUUUAUUUUCUUUUAUUUUGAUUAAGUCGGUGUUAUUUAAAUUACUAUUUUACACCUUAUAAAGAAAAUAACAAUUAAUAUCCUAGAAUUUUAAAUAUUAUUUAAGUAUGAUCACGAUAGACAUAAUCUCUAUUAUAAUUUAUCAAUUUCAUAAUUUUCUUAUUUUAGUAAUAGUAACGUGGAGGGCGAUACUUUAUGAACUUAAGGAUUCAAAGUCAACUCACAACGAGUCCCUACUUUCCUUUUCUUUUUUAGAUGCAUAGAUUAAUUGCGUUUGCAUUUAUAUAAUUAAACGAUUUUGUUCACAUUAGCUCCAAGAUUUCAAAAAUACAAAAUUAACACGUGAAAGAACAAAAUUAAAAAACUAUUAAGAAGAAAACAUUGAUUUAUGAUUUACGCCUAUGGAAGGUAAAUUAUUUGGUGUCCUGGAAAAAUUAAUUCAAAAUUUAAAUUUAUUUAAAAUAAUUAAAUAUAAAAAUAACAUGACAUUAAAUAAUGAAUUUAAUUGAUAUAUACUAACAUCAUAAAGAUAUUAUUUAUAUUACGAGUAAAUCAUAACUGUCAAAUUAUUUAAAUUAUUUAAUGUUUAUUUUUAAAAUCAUACAUUUGAAUGAUUAUUAUAUCUUGAUAAUAUAAAAUAUUUUAUAUUGAUAAUAUAAAUAAUUGAAUAUUGAAAGUUAUAAAUCCACCAUUGAUGUUUGACACCACAAUGUCAUUUGAUCUUAACAUUUUUAUAUAUAAUGAAAAUGAGAAGUUUUUAAAUAUUUAUUUUCUUAUAAUGUUUCCUUUCAUUAAAUUAUUCAUUUUACAAUAUUUUUAUCAUUUCUUACUCAAGCAAAUAACUAAACAAUUUUAAAUAACAUAUAAAAUUUUAUAACUUUCAUCAUUUUUAUAAAAGAUACACUUUUGAUUUAACCCUCAAUAUUUGAAACAAUUGAUCUCUAAUAAUUUAAAAUUAGAUCGAGAAAUAGAAAUUGUUUUAGAUAGAAUUCAAACCCAAAUUUCCAUUAUCAAUUUAUCCUAACAAAUUAUGCUUAGCUAGUAAAUAACUACAAUAUUCAUGGCAAUUAACUAGUACAUUUUUUCCUUUCAUAUAGUUGUAGUGAUCUCAAGUCUAACUAUCAAACAAGUAACAGUCGCCUACAACUUCCUCGUUCCCAUUAAUUUUACCAUAAUACCACUUAAACGUCAACAUUCAACGGUCAAAACACUUGAAAAA
rnacentral:lncRNA from 1 species